rnacentral:lncRNA from 1 species
AAGAAGACAGUGGAGCGAUUAAACGAAGUCGAUGCCGCAUACAAUUGUGCCAAAAACGGUGGAGCAGCACAACGAGGUGCAUUGGGACCAUUCGGUUUUUCAGUCCUUGCACACGAAGGUCUAGCUGAACACACUCCUGUGUAUUUCUAUGUUGCCAAAGGAGUUGAUGGGAACCUUAAAACAUUCUUUUGUGCUGAUCAAUCGAGGUCAUCUAAUGCUAAUGAUGUCGAUAAGUCAAUUUAUGGGAGCAUUGUCCCAGUUCUUAAAGGUGAAAAGUUGUCUAUGAGAAUCUUGGUGGAUCAUUCGAUAGUUGAAAGUUUUGCACAAGAGGGAAGAUCAUGUAUUACUUCACGUGUUUAUCCAACAAAGGCUAUCAACAGUAAUGCUCAAUUAUUUUUGUUUAACAAUGCUACCGCAUCCAAAGUUACCGUCUCAGUCAAUGUAUGGCAAAUGGACUCAGCUCAUGUUUAAAUAUUAGAUGUGAAAUCUAAUUUUUUUAUGGUUGUUUAAAAUCAUUUUAAGAGUGGGAAAAUAGACCCCUCAAUUCUUUUAAUUUGUAUGUGAUGAUCAUUCCGACAUCUUGUUUUUGUACAUGGAAAUCAAGGAAUUCUGAGAUAAUAGUCACCUUGUAAAAUGCAUUGCGUAAAUUAAAUUCAUUCUCAAGGUUAUUCUUCCUUAUAUAUUUUUUCAAUAAUAACAUUUUAAAUUUUAUAUUAACAGACUUUGUGUUAAAUUAUUAACAUUCUUAUCAAACUAAUAGUUGUCAAUUCAUUUUAUAAAUAGUUUUGGUAUUUUUUAUUUUAUAUGUUUGGUAUAUUUUUCAAAUUUUGUUAUUGUUUAAGGACUACAAAUGUAAAACUGAGGUAAUCUCUCGCGGGUCUAUCGGUCAAUGGGUAUAUCCAUGCAUGGUCCAACUUAUUAUCUCCAUGCAUAUAUAUGUGAGUGUAGGUGUUGUUGCAGUGGUCAUCGAGUCUCAAACAUCUUCUGUAAUAUUCUCUCGUUUUAGGUUUCACAUACGAGUUAAGGUUUCAUGAGUCUGUAGUUUGUUCUUCUUCUUUGUUAAUCAAAUCUUUGUUGUGUGAUAAUCUAUUGAGUGUAGUAUACGAAUUUGUAGCUAGUGAGAUUUCCAUUGUAAGUUACUGUCAAACAAACUGACACCACAAGAAAAAUCCUGAAUUACUACGGAAAGUUGCUACCGAAUCAAAAUCCGUAGCUAUUUUACUACGAAAUAUGCUACAAAAUGGCUUGUCGUAGCUAUUUUGUGACGGAAAUGGUUACGAAAUUGCAUUCCGUAGGUAAAUCCUAAAUAGCUACGUAUAGUUGCUACGGAAUCAAAAUUCGUAGUUAUUCUACUACGAAAUAUGCUACACAAUGACUGGCCAUAGCUAAUUUGCUACGGAAAUGACUAUGAAAUUACAUUAUGUAGCUAAACAUUGAAUAGUUGUUAUGGAAUCGAAAUCCGUAGUUAUUUUACUACAAAUUAUGCUAUGGAAUUUUUGGUUGCGGCUAGUUCGCUACGAAACUUGUUAUGAAAUUAAUAUUUGUAGUUUUUUGGCUAUAGAAUUGGCUAUGGAAUUCAAAAUUGUAGUUUGUGGCUACGCAAUUGAAAUUCGUAAUAAUUUUGUUACGAAAUUUGAACCACAAUUAAAUUUUGUAGCUAAUCUACUAUAGAACUUGUUACAAAAAUAUUAAUCGUAGUUAUUUAUGUAUACGAUUGGUGUUCGGAUUUGCAAAAUAACUAUGGAAUCAAAAUCCGUAGCUAUUUAGCUAUGAAAAUAUUCCGUAGUUAAGUAGCUAUGGAACAUGUUUCCGUAGCAAAAUAUAGAAAAAAUUAUAUUCUUAUUUUAGAUUAAUAAUUUCCUUUCCUAUUUUUAUAACAAAUUAGCCCUUAGUUAAAAGAACAAAUUAGCCCAUAUUUUUGUAUCGUCGAUUGGAGGAGGUCGUUUUUAAUGAAUCACAAAAUGCAAAAGUCAAAUGGAUUAAUGAAAAGUCAACCUUAUUUAUUAAUUAUUUUGUAGGCGAGACUUUUGCUCUUUACUCAUAAUUUUGACAAGCCCUGAAGAAAACUAUUCAUCACUUGACCUAAUUCCUCAGUUUUCCCCGGUCUCCACUUACGCCAUUAUCGAUCGGACUUCACAUUAUCGGGAGCUCCUCUCACUCUUGUUUGCUGUCGUUCGUCACCUGCUCUGUCAAUUGGUAGGUUGUUCUCGAUUGAUGAUCCUCAUUGCCUUCGUGCUCACUGUGGAUCGUCGUACUCCUCUUCGCCAGUUUUUUCCUCGAUCGUCUUCGUCCCUAACAGGUAACCUUCUUCUUUGUUUUGUUUGCUUCUUAAAACCUGCGUGACUCCACUAAAUCAUCUGCUUGUGUCACCUGAAAAUAUUAGCGACUAUUUCCACCUAAUGCUCCAAUUUCUCUUUCUAUCAUCCAAUGACAUGAGGAUCUAUUGAUCUUUCCAUUGAAUCCAAGGCGAGUCAAUAAUCAGUUAACUCUACCAAUCCUUACACGCAGCUUGAUUCAAGUUUUUAUUGGUGAUUUUGAUUGAUCGAUUAUAUUGCAUUUGAUGCAAAUUGUGGAUUUUGACUUGACAAAUAAUGAAGUAUUGAUGUGACUUUAUUGCCUGAGCAUCAUAGAUCACACAUUGUUUGCAUGUAUUGUGAUUAAAUUAGAAUGGAUUUUCUAGGAUAAAACUUAUAAUCUGUCUUUGAUAGACAUUUAGUUUAAGCAAAUUGAGAAUUUCACCAGAUAAACAGUGUUGUAUUGUUGUGACUUCGUUGUUGGAAUUUCAUGAAUCACAAAGAUUCAAUAGCUAAAGAUGAACUUUUUAGGAGAAUCAUAAGAUGUUGCUACUUGCCUACUUGUGCUUUAUGUCAUGUCAUCUCUUUUAAUUCACAAAACUAAGCUGUUCAGAUUGUUGGUUAUAAUCAUAAAUGUUCAUGUAUGCGUACCUUUUGUUAUAAUUUUGGUCCAUAUAGUUUUUUGUUAAAUAAUAACCAACUUGACCAACCAAUAAGUUUAAUUGUAUAUGAUUCUAUUUUAUGCUUAUAUCAAUUAGUAAACAUGUCAAUGAGAAAAAAAAAACACUUAAUAGUUCUCACACUUUUCCCCAAUACGUAAUAAAGUAGUGUAAUCCCAUGAUGAAUGAAUUAUAUGACCAACAAUUGAAUAUUAAUCUAAUUCACUUUGAAUAGAUAGAACAACUACCCGUUGCAUUUUUGAAAUCUUUCCACCAUUAAUCCUUACCCCUUAAUAUUACAUAUUUCAGAAACUCAUGGACCACAAUUAAUCUCACUGAUAUUUGCAAUGAUUGCAUGCUUCUAGUUGUUAAUAUGUUAUUACUAGUUAAUAUUUGUUAGAAUUUAGAUUGAAGUUUUUUGAGAAUUAGUAUAUGUAGGUUAAUCAUUAAUGCGUUACUGUUUGUGAGUUUGUUGAAAAUCAAUGGUGUUUCUUAAAGGGUUCAUCAGGUCUAACUUUUUUUACUGUGCAAAAUGGGCAGAAAAAGUUGAAAUUUGGUUAAUGAACAUCUUGUUCCAUGGAGUUUUUAUCUUUGCUUAAAUUGUCAUCUUCAUCCAAUGCAUUUGUUUGAACACUGUUGUAUUUUAAUUUAAUUUCCCAAUAUAUAUUUAGAUAACGAAUGGAAUCUUUUGUUAACAAUUCCCAAUAUAUCAUUAAACUUAAAUUGAUGUUUGUGGAAGUAUUCACUUGUAACUCAAGCCAUUUUUAUUACGACUAAUUUUUCUCCUAGUGUUGAAGUGUGUUAUUGUAUGCUUGAACAUGAUUGUUUGAUUUUGCAAAUAAAUAAUUAGAAAGAUAUACGCAUUUUAAGUUUUCUUUUUGUUACAUCAUUGUAAGUUUUUAAAAAAAAAAAUUAUUAUUAAGGCAUGCUAUGUUGACAAAUCUACCAAUUAUAGUCUUGUACUUUCAGUUUUUUAAUUAUAAGCAAAUUUUCCUUUGAAAAAUUAACUCAAUUAUUGCAUUGCAUUUUGUUUGUUGAAUUUCUAUGUACUUUGUUGUAGGGUUAGAAAUAAAGGGAUAUUAAUGUCACUUAUAUUAUGUUUACUUGUCUACAAUAAUAGACACAUUUUCUCGUCUGCAGACCAAAUUUACUUUUUUAGAAUUUAUUUUUCUCUUUUAAUCUAUUACUGUAAUCAAGAAUUUCAAGUUUUCAACAGUUCUGCUAAUAACAAUCUAUUUGUGACAUUGGAGCUUUUUAGGUUGUGUAAUUUGUUGAAACAAAAGCAAAAGAUAUGUUUAAGGGGUUAUUGAAGCAAAAGCAAAAGAUUUCAGCCCCUGUCAACCAAUGAUUGGUGGUAAAUUGCUGCUUAUGUGGUACUAGUUAUAUGGCAAGUUUUUUUUUUUUUUGGAUUUAUAUGGCAAUUUUUUUACUUAAUCUGGAAAACUAUAUAAAUAAUUAUUAUUUCAGUUAUUCUAUACUUAAUGAUAUAACAGGUUAAGCUACUUACUAUUUAUAGGCUCAUAGUUGGAAUUGAUGGGUUUUGGUCAUAAGACAUCUUAUGUGCUCAUACAAACCCUAAAGCUCGGAUCUAGGUUUCUUUAUUGUACAUGCUUUGAAUCCAAGACUAUAAACCCUAAUUUUAGCAUAUGGAAAUCAAUAUUAACAUAUUAAUAGGUUUAAGAACAUACCUUGAUUGUUAUAUAGCAAUAACAAUCCAAUUCCUCCUUGAAUUGACCUUGGAAAGCAGAGAGUCACAAGUGUCACUCCUCUAAUGGCUUACAAACACCAUAAGCAAGUGGAGAAUGUAUAAAGAGAGAGAGGAGGGAGGUUAGAAUUCGUCCUUAGGACCCCUUGGGAAGGGUUACACGAAUUCAUAACCCUAGGGGUGUUUAUAUAGGUGUAGAGAUAGGGUUUCAGUCAUUAUCCUUAUCUAGUUGAUUAUCCAUUAAGCAACCAAUAAGAUAAUCCUUGAAUCCUUAUCAUACUCAAAUUCUAAGGCUUUCCAACCUUAAAUUCGUUCACCACACUUAUAAGAUAAUCCUUACCUUAUUUUGUAACUAUCACAUAAUUACAAUUCAGCCCCUCUAGUUUAAUUAAUUACACUUGAUCACAAAAUUAAUUCUUAAUUAAUUAUUGACCAAUAUUAAUUAAACAAAUAUGAUUUCUCCUUUAAUAUAUUAUUCUUAUAACAUAUUAAUAAAUCAUAAUAACCUCUCUCUCUUUAUUUAUUUCUCCAAUCAAGUUGCUUUGGUGAAGGCAACCCAAAAGGACCAUGCACCAUCGGGUCAAGUACAUACCAAAAUAGUUAUGGACUUAGACACUAAUCCAACAGUCUCCCACUUGGAUAAGUCUAACAACUAUUCUGCGUAUGACUUCGGAUCCCGAUCUGCAAUCGUAGCUUUCCAAAGCCGCUGUCAACUCUGAUCAUAUCAGAUACGCGUGUCCUUAGAUAAGGGAUCAUAUAUUCCUCCAUUCUAGAUAUCAUAUGAGAUAUGAUUUCAAAUCAUUCUCUUUGUACUAUAUCUCGAUUUCCGAUUUAUGACGACUGACUAAUUGAACAAAUCAAAUUAGCCCUAGCCCGGCCGAGCAUUUACGUUUGUCAUCACUAAACCAUCGAGGGGCCCAAAGAUAUCGCUUUUAUCCUACUUUGGAUAAAAGGAACGGAUAAACUUUGAUACAAUGCUUGCUUGCACUCACUCACCGAAUCACACACAACAAUAUGUUUUAUAACACCAAGUUACUAGUGCGUUUACAUAUUAUCAAUGUGCAACCGAUUUGCAAGAUACAACUCACACAUCUCGGUUUCAAGAAUAUAAGAUGUUAUCGUCUCACCAAUCACUCGUGAUACAAUUCAUGGAGUGAUCCAAGUGAGCGUGGGUUUAAUCCAAUGCUCAAAUCACAUUCAUAAGCACUCAUGAACGUUGCAGCAAACAUUUGCUUAUGUCUAAUACUCUUUUAGACAAUCCACACACCAAUUCACGACAGUCUUCAUUCAUAUCUACUUCCAACAUAUGAACGACUGUGGCCCGUUUGAAUAAUUCGAUUAUUCUUAAUAAACUCAAUUAUUCUGGAAGUCAAAACAUGCAAAUGUGAAACACAAGAAUAAUACUAAUCCCAUAUGGCCUCAAACCUUUGAGUAUAAAUAAAACACCUUUUAUUUAUCACCAUAUUGAUUACUCAUUAUUUGUCGUUUCGGGUAAUCAACUUCUUACUUGAAUUCCAACACUUGUCCCAUGCUCCUAGCAUGCACACAAUGUUUACCUAUGGUUCUUACUUUGUGAAAUAGAUCACAUUGAACACAUUUCCAAUCCUUCUCAUUUCACAACUCCAAAUCCGUUUUUCAUAAGUCAAAGAAUAUCAAAUUCUUGCUACUUAUAGAAUAUGCUAGAUUCUAACAUUCUAUGCAACUAUCCUUUCGUAAUGUCACUGCACCAAAGUCACAAAGACUAUUGCCAAUGAUAUUACAAAGUCCUCUAUCGGAGAUUGUUACAAGACAAUUCCAUAGACGUGAUGUCUCUCACUCAAAGUACAUUCUUUGAACAUCCUUUUGCAUAGAAGUUUCUAAUCUAGUCAUAGAUUUCUCAAUAUUCAAUUCCCAAUAUGGACACACUUCCAUAUGUUCCAUAUGACAACUCAUUCUUAAUAGAAUCUUAUCUAUUCGUAAUGAUGUCGAUAUGGUCCAUCCAAUAUGGAAACAUUUCCAUAUUUUCCAAUACUAUACUUCCAACUACUCACAAGCGACCAAUCCUCGUCGAACUUUGGAUUGUCCUUUGAUAGUUGUUUAAUUAUUUUAGUCAAAACCAAUUCUAGUCCCUUUUCCCUCUAAAUGCGCUCGACAUUUGGAAAAUUUUAGAAUGGUCAAACAUUAAAGCAUUUGCAAUCGAUCCUAUACCCGAAGCGUAUGGGACACGACGCAUAAUGUUUUAUUUGCUAUGUUCUCAAAAUUCGAAUUGUGAAGAGGGAUGCCGUAAUCAUAAUCGAAAUUUUAAGAACACACUAUGUACCUUUGACUAAAUUUAUUAACAUUUCUCAACCUAAUCCUUUAGAUUUGAAAUGAAGCAUAAUAUUCUCUCCCUUAAUUAUAGCAAAACAACCUUUCAACUCUUACAACUUUGCAAAGUAUGACUCUUGUUUUCUAUAAUUAAUAUUGCUAACCUUGCAAUACUUUCCUUAAUAAUCAUACAAUCAUAACAUUUAUGCUCCCACUAUCAUGAUGAUUAUUAUAAAACAUAACACUUAUGCUCCCACUAGCUUCGACAUGUAUUCAUAAACAUCUUAACUUUCAGAAAACAAUACUUAUUGAAUUUCUUAAGUUCAUGUUUCUAAUACUUAGUGCUUUGAUAAUCCUUUAUCAAUGCUUCUUGAACUUAUACACCUUUGCCUUCGAUAGUUCAUAUGUGUGUCUAAACAAUUAAGACUAAUUGCCAAACCUCACAAUUCAAAUUAUGGAAAGGGAUACCGUAACCAUAAUCGAAUUCGAGAAUGCAAUUUUACAAUCACUAUCUUCUUAAAAUCUUUCUUAGUGAAAGCAUUUCCUCACAAUCAUUUUCAUGAAGGAGGAAAUCUUAUGACACUUAGAUUUAAACGGUGUAUGUGUUCCUAUCCAUGUGAAUUUGUUAAAACCAAAGUUUACGACAAAUUCAAACUCAUAUGGACCGAACUUUCUUAAUCUUGAUUUCUUGCCUUAUGGUAGCACAGCUGCCCACCAUGUCUUCCAAGUAGUUAAGCAGCUCACCCUUUCCUAUCAAUGUACCUUUCAUUGAUUAAGGUGCUUUGCCUUUUAUGCGUUCAAAAUGAGAACUCAUAGAACUCACAUGCAUAAUUAACUCGAUUGGAUUGGCACAGAAACAAAAUAAUGUCAACACGAUAGGUUGUAAACCUCAACUCGUGUGCUAGUGAUGAUCGAUAAGGUUUAUUUGAUUUGUUCUUGAAACCUUUCAAGACCAUUAAGACUCCCACUGACUCCUUGACAUAUAAGAUUCUCUUGUCAAUAAACAUUUCUUGACAAACAAAUAUUCAAGAGUUAGUGUAGUUUUUAUCAAAACACUUCAUAAAUUGGUCCUAGUUGGUCUUUGUCUUAUCCAAGACAUCACAACUUUCCACAUUUGAUGAAUGUUAUAAACCUUCUUAAUACUUAUCACUCAAUGUCACAAUCUUAACUCUAAGACUUGUUUUGGAACGAAGUAUGAUUGACUUCUUGAUUUAACCAUUUCUUCAAUUCUUGAUUCCUCUUCUUAGACAUACAAUUGUACUAAGACUCACUUAGAGGAUCAAUUGAGAUAUGGUUCUUAAUCAUUAAGACCUAUCAUAAAGCAUAAAAGGUACUCUCCCUUCUUCUUAGAAUGGAGAAACUUUUAUCUUUCUGCCUACUUGAUUCUUCUUAUUCGUUCUGCUAUUGAUUUAAACUUUUUCAAUCAAUUCAGAAUUACACUUAAUCUUAUAAGUAUAAUCAUAUUUACUAAACCUUUAGUAAAUCAUGACGAAUAUCUUUGUUACUCUUAUGGUGGACUUGAUCAACACGCAACUUUGUGUACUCGAUCUCCUAGUCCUUCACUUGACACUUUGUCAAUGAAUUAGUCUAAUUUCCAAAUAUGAAAUUUCUCAUUCAUCGUGCAACCAAGUUGCAUGAUUCCAAGUUUCUGUCCAAUUGAAACUUGGGCGAUGAGAAACUCUCCCUAUUUGGUAAACUCUCGACUUUCCAUAAAUAACAUAAUAAGAACCAAAUCCAUUAUUGCUAAUAAUAGAAACAUUCAAACAUCAAUUUUUCAUAUACGCCAUUGCAAGGAUAAAUAAAUAAUAUAAAAUCAAAAUUUAUUUUAUUGCGGAAAAAAUUUGUCCUUACAAUGCAAUUCAUUGAAAAACUAUGCUAAUACAUCUUUCUUAGCAAUCUAAUUCUAACUCUAAGUAGUAGCUCAAGAAUCUAAUCUUCGAGAAAUGCGAUCGAAAUCCAUUCCUUCACGGUUAGAUUCUGCUCACUUCUUCCCUUAAGCUUCCUUUCUUUUCUUCGAUCCUACAAAACAUCAAUUGUAAUCUUAUCACAUUAUGUAUUAAGAAUCUAGAAUAGAAGCUUAAAAGAGUUAGUUAAUGGAUUUUACCUAUAUUAGAGCCAUACGUUUCGACUCUCCCAUCUCUUAGAUCUCUUAGGUAAAUGGGGCAGCUUCGUCUCCAAUGCCCUUUCUCUUGGCAAUAAAAGCAAAUUGACUCUUUUGGAACAUGACAUGGAACUACUUCAGACAUUGCCUUUCUCUUAUGAUCAAACUUUUCGAUCAUAGCAUGUCUUUCGUUGCCAUUGUCUAUAUCCAUAGAGGUCUUGAAGGCAGAUUCACCAAUCAACUUUGCUUUUCUAUUGCGCCAAACCAUUGCUGAUUCAGCAGCAAUAAGCAUAUAGGUGAGAUCUAUAAGGGUCACGUCGCGGUUCAUCAUAUAGUACUCUCUUACGAACUCACUAUAUGAGUUAGGAAGUGACUGAAGAACCCAAUCAACAGCCAUUUCCUCACAGACAACGGAUCCCAACAUUCUUAACCUAUCAAUGUGUGACUUCAUCCCUAGGACGUGUGCACACACCGACUUUCCUUCUUUAUGUUUACUUGCCAAAAGGGCUUGAGUGAUCUUGAACUUUUCAAGCCUUUGAACUUGUGGGUUAGGGAGAAUAAUUGGAGGAGGAGGAGGAAGUGAAGCAUGAUUUCUUGUUCCUCGAUCGAAUCGUGGAAUAUCAUCUUCAUGUGGAAUGCUUGUUCCACGGGAUUUGGGAAGACCAUAGUUGUCGAACUUUGACAUCUACAAAACGGGAGAAAACGAAUUCAAGUUAGUUGAUUGAUUGAGUCCUUAGUAAAUCACCCAAAUGAGAUACUAAGGCUAGGACCCAACACAAUAUUCUACAACUCGGGAGAGGGAUGCCGUAACCCUAAUUGCAGAAUAUUUGAAGGUAAGUGAAUGACGAUUCACUAAUUUCCACCAUGAAAAACGAAAAAGAAAUUUAAGUUUUAAAUCUAUGAAAACUCCUAGAUCCUUUGAGAUUCAUUGAACUUUCAAUGGCAUGUUUAAAUCUCGAUAUGCCCCUCUUGUUUGUGACUGGGAUGCCGAGGAUCACAAAGCGGGUGUGAAUAACCAUGCAAACUUACAUGGUGCCCUCACAUGUUACAGUCACCUAUUCGAUGUGCCGGUAAACCACACACGCUCCACCGAACUAUGACAAACAUUGAGUCACCCUUUGCUACCUUUGCUUAGACCCAUUUAGUGUGCCGGUUAACCACACACGCUCCACUAACGUCUUCGCAAGGGCACAAAGUGUAAUUUCAUGGAAUUGCAUCAAUUCACUUUUGCCUAAGUAACUAAGAUUGGGAAUUUUAUGAAAACAUUUAGUUACUUUAAUAAUUCAUUAUACUUAUAAUGGAAGGUUUCGUCCUAUCCUACCCGUUCGGCUAACGACCCUCCACUAGUCAAGAGUGCGGUGGGUAAGAGUGGAUACCCAUUCAAUCGCCAUUUUAUAGGCAAUUUCCUUAAACACCCCUUAUAGACCAGCUUCGUGAAUGAGGCCUACUAACGGUAAGACUGACUUUUACUCAUACAUAUAUAUAAUGUUAGACUUUUAAUGUUAUAUAUAGUAUAGGGUGUAUUUUACACUUUUAAAAUAUUAGGUGGUUCAAUUUAACAAUUAUACUUUUAAUUCACUUAAAUUGUAAACCUAAACUUUUAUGGAUUUAUUAAACCUCUUUUAAUUAUACACCUUAAUUAAUUAAUAAAACCAUAAGGGUGUGAUUUGAACUUUUUCAAAACUAUACUAGAGUUUUAGAAUUUAACAUUCCUAAUUAAACUUUUAAUCAACUUUUAAAUUCCAAAACUUGAGGGCAAGUUUUGAAACAUUUCAACACAUUAGGGUUUAGAAUUUAAAUAUGCAUCAAAAUUAAACUAUUUAAUCAAAAUUUAAAUUCCAAAACUUGAGGGCAAGUUUUGAAACCUUUUUCAAAACAUUAGGGUUUCAACUAUUUAAAUUUCAAAACAACAAAACUUUUGGGGUUCAAAUUUAAACUAUAAAACCUAAAGGGCCAAAUAUGAAACUUUUCACAACAACAAGGAUCAAAUAACAAAUAAUUCAAAUUAACAUUUAAUCACAUAAUUAUCCAUAUUUGAUGAUUUCUUGCAAAAUAAUUUAUCAAUUUACUUAAAAUAAUUAAUCAAUUAUCUUAUAAGGAAACAAUUAUCUUAUUAAUUGAUAAAUAUCUUCAAUUAGAUUAAAAAUAUAGUCAAAUAUAUCAUAUAAUCGGAUUAAUAUUAAUCUAACAUGAUAAGGUAAUUAUCCCAAUGCAAAAACAGCAAGAAAUCCCGAGAUAAGCACUGUCUGACGCACCGACUCGCCGAGUCACCCUCUGGAACUCGCCGAGUAGGGCUGACUCGCCGAGUCCAAGAGUGACUCGCCGAGUCAGGUCGAACAGUGAGGCCAAAACACGAUUUUCAGUUACAUCAAGCAUCAAUACAAUAGAAACCAAUCAAGGCUCUGAUACCACUGAUGGGUUUUGGUCAUAAGACAUCCUAUGUGCUCAUACAAACCCUAAUGCUUGGAUCUAGGUUUCUCUAUUGUACAUACUUUGAAUCCAAGACUAUAAACCCUAAUUCUAGCAUAUGGAAAUCAGAAUUCACAUGUAAUUAGGUUUAAGAACAUACCUUGAUUGUUAUAUAGCAAUAACAAUCCAAUUCCUCCUUGAAUUGACCUUGGAAAGCUGAGAGUCACAAGUGUCACUCCUCUAAUGGCUUACAAACACCAUAAGCAAGUGGAGAAGGUAUAAAGAGAGAGGAGGGAGGUUAGAAUUCGUCCUUAGGACCUCUUGGGAAGGGUUAGACGAAUUCCUAAGCCCUAGGGGGUUUAUAUAGGUGUAAAGAUUAAGGUUUUAGUCCUUAUCCUUAUCUAGUUGCUUGUCCACCAAGCAACCAUAAGAUAAGUCCUAGAAACCCUUAUCCUAGUCGAAUUCUAAGGGAUUUACACCUCAAAUUCGUUCACCAUAUUUAUAAGAUAAUCCUUACCUUAUUUUGUAACUAUCACAUAAUUACAAUUCAGCCCCUCUAGUUUAAUUAAUUACACUUGAUCACAAAAUUAAUUCUUAAUUAAUUAUUGACCAAUAUUAAUUAAACAAAUAUGAUUUCUCCUUUAAUAUAUUAUUCUUAUAACAUAUUAAUAAAUCAUAAUAACCUCUCUCUCUUUAUUUAUUUCUCCAAUCAAGUUGCUUUGGUGAAGGCAACCCAAAAGGAUCAUGCACCAUCGGGUCAAGUACAUACCAAAAUAGUUAUGGACUUAGACACUAAUCCAACAGGAAUGCAGUUCCCUUACAGCUUCUUUGGCAUGCAUAAUUGGUCUUCAGUAUGGUCAUAUUUUAAUCAAAUUACUAGUGUGAAUUUCAUUUAUAUUUUAGAGUAUUUUCCCUGGUCAAAUCUUAGUUGACCGAGUUUGUUGCAGGGGCAUAAAGAUCGACUUUGCUUUUAGAGUUUUAGUUUUCGAUUUCCAAAUAACAAUUUAGAAUAUUAUUAAGUUUUUUGGUUUUUUUUCAAUGUCAGGUAUUCCUUUGAACAAGGGCUUGUACAUGAUGUUGUAUCAGGAUGAAAUAAAAGUAGGAUGCUAUAACAAAGAAAUAAAUGAAAUUAGGUUGUUAUUUCUUAGCCUAUAUUAUCUUAUAUCUUACUUUAAUUUUAUUGGUUUUGACAGGAUUCGAGGGCACAUGUAAGAGCCCUAUAUCUGUUUAUAGGGACAAUUUAGAGAAUGCACACCUUUGGGAUUGAAAACAUGGAUACCUAACAUUAUGGAGCAAUAUCAACAAAAACAUCAUUAUGCAGGUUCAUUUUUAUACCUUUAAUAAUAGAAAAUCAAGUGUUUUCAACUUUAUUUCAAAUCAUUUUGACAUCAUGUGACAACUUCAUAUCCUUUUGGCAUCACGCGACGGCUUGGAAAGAGAAAAAAUAAUCAUGCUAAUGUUGGAUUUGAUGGUUCUCAAAAGGGGAUUUAUUUUGUUUCUCGUGUACANGACGGCUUGGAAAGAGAAAAAACAAUCAUGCUAAUGUUGGAUUUGAUGGUUCUCAAAAGGGGAUUUAUUUUGUUUCUCGUGUACAUGUUAAUAGUAUGCCAAAUAAAAGAGUUGGAUUGUUGUUUUUACUUUGUCUUCAUUUUCAUAUUUUAAUCAAGUUGAUUGUAAAUUUGAUUUUGCAGGUUUUUCCAUUUUGGUUGAGUAUAUGUGGUUGUUGGUGUGUAUAUGGCGGUUCAAAUCUAAAUUGUGUGUAGGUGACGGUUCAAAUCUAAACUGUUUGAUUAUACUUGUAAUUAAUAUUUAGUUUUAAUGAUUAGACAACCUCAUAGAAGACUUUUCGAUGAUAUCAUAUGUCUAUAAAAUUGAUGUAACUAUUAAAUUUAUAUUUACUACAUUUUUAUAUAUUUUUAUGAAUAUUAUAAUUGGAAAAUUGGAUUUUGUUGAACAUUUUUAUCAUACUGAAUUUGCUUUGGAACCUGUUGCUACAUGACAAAUCGUUGUUGAACAAAAACCUACAAAAUUCGCUACGGAACAGACGGCUACAGAAUUUGCUACGGAACAGACGGCUACGGAAUUUGCUACCAAACAGAUAGCUACGGAAUUUGCUACGGAUAGACAACUACGGAAUUUGUUACGGAACAGAUGGCUACGGAAUUUGCUAUGAAACAGAUGGCUACGAAAUUUGCUACGCAACAGAUGGUUACGGAAUUUGUUAUGGAACUCAAAUUGCAACAGAAUAGAUGUCGUAGAAACUGUCAUAACAAAAUUGCUAUGGAAUUAUAAUUUCGUAGCUAAACAUUUUGCUACAAGAAAUAUAGCUACAUAGUCUAAUUGAUAAAUUGGGUAGCAAAUUCCGUAGUUAUUCAGCUUUAGCUACGGAAUUUCAGAUUUUUGCUAUGGAAUUUUUCCAUAGCUAAAUUGGAAUUUUCUUGUAGUGUGAUCUAUGAAUGAAAUAGAUUGUUUAUGUUGAGAAAUCUAGAUUGUUAUCUACUUGUGUUUAGUUUUAGCAUUGUUGUGAUAGUAAUCUCAUUGUUGUGUGAUAAUCUAUUGAGAGAACUAUAAACUUUUUCUGUUACUCUUGAUAUCUACGUGUGUUUAGUUUUAACGUUGGUUAAUCCGGUUAUGAGCACCAAUUAUAUUAUUUUGUGAACUUUGAUUGUUAUUCUGUUUCUUCUUGAUGUUUUCUUAUCUUAUCUGAUAUGGUUGUUGGGAAAACUCCUGGUGGUUCAGGAACUAUGUCUAAUGAAUCACUAAAUGUUGAUGAUCCUCUCUAUAUUCAUCCUACUAAUACUAUAACUAGAACUAGAAUUGGUUUCACAUUACUUGGAACUAAGAAUUUUAUAAAAUCUGAAAAAGUUCCAUGACUAGAGCAUUAAAAGAUAAAAACAAAUUAGGGUUUGUAGAUGGUACAACAGUUAAAAUUGAAGAUGAUCCUAUUAAAUCUCUUAAGUAAGAAAGGGAAAACGAUGUCGUGUGUUCAUGGGUUCUUGGAUCUAUAUCUGAAUCCAUAUAUGCAUGAAAUAUUUACUCUAAAAAGGCUAUUGAUAUAUCGAAUGAAUUAAAUAAAACUUACUAUAAGUCUGACGGCUCUAUUGUCUUCAACACAUAAAUGCAGUAGCUCAAAAUUGUCUUUCUGUUUUUGAUUACUACAAUAAACUUGAUUCACUUUGGAAGGAAUUUGAUGGUCUAACUAAUCUCACUAAAUGUGUCUGUCCUGCUUCAACUCAGUUGAACAAUCACUUUAAACUUAUGAAACUUGUGUAGUUUUUAAGUGGUCUUGAUAGCUAUUAUAAUUAAGUUAAAAGUCAAAUCUUGUUAACUGACCCUUUACCAAAUGUUAGAAAUGCUUUUGCUAUAGUCUCGGAGGAGGAAUCUUUAAAAAAAUGGUUAUGUGUCCAAUACAUCCAAAAAAUCUCAAACCAUUGCUUUUAAUAUAAUUUCAAUGAUAACAGAAGGAACAAAGGUCCUAAUCAAAAUCCUCAAUGUAAGAAUUGUGGAAUUAAAUGCCAUACUAUUGAAAAAUGCUUUAAAUUAGUUGGUUACCUAAAGGAUUUUAAACCAAGAAAUGUUUUUAACAACGGUCUCAACAACUCGUCUAGCAAUAAUUUUUCCAAUAAUAAUUCUGAGAGGUCUUGGUCUAGAAAUAAUGUUACCUCUAAUCUUAUUGAUGGAUCCACUUCUAGUUUUAGCCCUGCUGAUCUAAGGUCUCUCACUCGUGAACAAGUCUCCAAACUUUUUCAACUCAUUAAUGACAAAUAUGUUGGAUUAGGUGUCUAAGCCAAUAACUGAAUUAGUGUGUGUGUGUAUAUAUAUAUAUAUAUAUAUAUAUACACACACACACACUUGAAUUAUUAGUAAAGUCCUUUUGGUUUGCCCUCAAACUUAGUAAUUGAAAUGGAUGACUUUUAGAGAGAGAGAGAGAGAAAGAGAGAGAUAGAGAGAGGGAAUGAUUUAUUGAUUUAUUAUAUAAUUAAUAGAUAACAAUAAGUGAAUUUAUUAAUAUGUUAUAAAAUUUAUAUAUUAAUUAGAAAUUUUAUUAUUUAAUUAAUAAUUAAUCAGAAAUUCAUUGGAAUUAAUUUUGGGAUUAAUUGGAUUAAUUAAAAGUUCAAGGGUUAAAGUGAAAUUAUUUAAUAGUUGAAUAAGAGAGGUUCUAGAAACUUCCUUGGAAGGGGUUGACGAUUUCAGGGUAUUCCAACGCAUCUGGAAUAUUCCUUGUAGAUAAAUAGGAAGUUGGAUAAUUACCAAUUUUAAUUAAUAUUAUUUUAUUCAAAUUAGGGUUUCAAAGUUACACUAUAAAAGGAACCCUUGGCCUUGGAUUUUGGCCACCCCUCCUUUCUUAGAGUUAGCUGAAAAUUUCAUCUCCCCUCUCCUCUCUCUUUAAGUCUCCUUGUUGCUAUGGUUGGGUGUGAACCAUCAGAGGCACGAAGAUUUUGGUGCUAGUUUCCAAGCAACUACAAGAAGGAUUGUUUGAUUGUUUACUAUAACAAUCAAGAGGUAUGUUUUCUUCUAUGAUUUUUGUAAUUACCUAGGGAUAUAGGGUUCUUAUUGUUCAAUAGAAUGUUACUUAAAUAGAUUUGUGACUAGAUGUAACAGUUUGCAUGUACCCUCAAGUGUAUAAGGAUUUAUCCGCGUUAUUGCAUGCAAAACCCAAUAGUGGAAUCAAAGCAUAUGGUUGUAUAAAAAUUGAAUAUAUAUUGGUUGAACUAGAGCAAAAUCCAAUUGGAGGAAAGACAAAAUUGACAUUUUGUUGCGGCACCAUGUCGAGGUGUUCUUUUGCCACGACGUGGUGUUCUUCGAAUCCGCGUCUUUUUCCGUUCUACCACGAUGUGGCAAUUGUGUUCCAUGACGUGGUAGACCCUCAUGUCAGAUAGAUCUUUUUUUGCUUAAUUCAUAAAUUGAUUAGGAUAAUUACUUCAGAUAAUGUUUUUAAUUAUAUAAAACUAUAUAAUUAUCUAUGUAAACAUAUAUCCUUAUCUUGAGUUUGUGAAUUAUGCUUAUGUUUUAAUUAUAUUUAAUUAUUUGAUUAAUUAAAAGAUAAAUAAUAAAAACAUAAUUGGUUUACUUUAAAUUAAUUUAAUUCUUUAAUUCCGAAAAUUGAAUUUAAACCUAGUACUUUGAAAAAGCUUCUAAAAUACACCUUAUAUAUAUAUAUAUAUANNNNNNNNNNNNNNNNNNNNNNNNNNNNNNNNNNNNNNNAAAUCAGUCGAAUCGCUAGUAGCCUCAUUCACGAAGCUGAACUAUAAGGGGGUAUAAGGAUACUACCUAUAAAAUUGCGGUUAAAUGGGUGUCCACUAUUACCAACCGCUUCCUUGUUUAGUGGAGGGUCGUUAGCAGAAUGAAUUUGAUAGGACAAUAACCUCAUUAAUAUGUAUAAUGAUAUAAAGUAACUAAACUCUUUUAUAAAAUCUCACUCUUAGUUACUUUAAGAAAAAUGUGAAAAGUAUAUUAAUCCAUAAAAUUACACAUUAUACUUUAUAGUAGUUAGUGGAGGGCGUGUGGUUAACCGGCACACUAAUAUGGGAUAUAAAGAGUAAUAAUGGGCAUCUCGAAAAUUAUCAUUGAUUAAUGGAGAGCGUGUGGUUAACCGACACACUAAUAUGAGAUGAUAAAUGACAUCGAGAGUGCCAAGCAUAUUUGUAUUGUUAUUCACAUCUUGUUUGUGAUCCUCGGCAUCCUAGCCACAAAUAGUAGAGAAUAAUCUCAAAUUAAACAUGCCAUUGAUAGAUUCAAUAAAUCUCCAAAGAUCUAGGAAUUUCAUAGUUCAAAAUUGGUAAAUUGAUUUUACCUACCUUUAUAAAUUUGCGAUAAGAUUACGACAUCCCUCUUCUUAAUUGUGAAUUGUUAUUUUGGAUCCUAGCCUUAAUUAUUUAUUAUGGGUUAAAAUAUUAAGGAUUAUUAUCAUCUGACUACAUCUUUAUGUCUAUAGAUGUCUACUCCUCUUCGCCGUCUACCCACCACUUUGGUUUCACCCUACUCUCUAUCGUGUCCAAGGUGACCUUUGAUGACACCAACUACAAUGACUGGAUGAGUAACAUCAAUAUGGCUCUUCGAUUCGAGGGCAAAGAAUAUGUCCUCGAAGAAAAACUCGUUGAAAUCGAUGAAGCCAAAGCUACUCUAGCACAAUUAGCCUCAUAUAAGAAACACUAUGAUGAUGUAACAAAAGUUGCUUGCAUCAUGGUCACUACAAUGUGGGUUGCAGAGGUUCUAUGUGGACUACUGGUCAUAUGAAAUGUACAAUGAUCUUAUGGAAAAGUACCACAAGAUAGCUCGUCAAGAGAAAUAUAAAGUGGUCAAGUCCACAGGGCUUGCAAGAUGAAAGAAGGAGAGUUUGUGUUCAACCACAUGUAGGGAAUCUAAAGAUAUGUGGAAUGCCUUAUUACGCUUAAUGUGAAUUUUAACGAGUAGUUGGUCAUUGACAUGGUCUUGAAAUCCUUGCCAAGUUGUUAUGAUCAAUUCAUAUUGGCUUAUCAUUUGAACAACAUAGAAACCACAUUGGCCCAACUCCACAACUUGCUACAGAUUGGUGAGUCAGAAAUGAAGGGAGAGAAUCCAACCCCUUCCACUAAUGCUCCAAUUCUCUGCAAUGGUAAGUUCAAAUUGAAGAAGAAGAAGGAUUCUCCCAAAGCUAAUUGGAAGAACAAGGCCCAAGCUUGGUCAUCUAGCAAUGGCCUGAAGACAAGGCCCAAAUCAGGCAUUCCAGCUGUUAGUGGCCGCAAAGAGGCCACUUAUUACUAUUGCAAUGAUAAGGGCCAUUAGAAGAGGAGCUGCCCCAAGGACCUUUAAGACAUCAAGGAUGACAAAGUGAAGCCAUCGCCAUCACGUACAUACACUAUUCAAACUAAUAACUCAUAAUUUACUCAUUCUUGGGUCGGUGAUACAAGAUGUGGUUUUCUCAUUUGUUCUGAUUUGAAAGGGAUAAAAGAAGGUGAAGAGGUGGAGCAUCGGAAGAUGAAUCUGAUCAUGGAAAAUACGUGAUCUUCUCAUGUUACCUUUAAGACAUCAAGGAUGACAAAGUGAAGCCAUCGCCAUCACUUACAUACACUAUUCAAACUAAUAACUCAUAAUUUACUCAUUCUUGGGUCGGUGAUACAAGAUGUGGUUUUCUCAUUUGUUCUGAUUUGAAAGGGAUAAAAGAAGGUGAAGAGGUGGAGCAUCGGAAGAUGAAUCUGAUCAUGGAAAAUACGUGAUCUUCUCAUUUUACCAAGAUUAGGACUUAUCAUCUUAUGCUUAGUAUUGUUGUUAGUUUAGAUUUUAUAGAUUAUUGCUAUUCAUCACAAAUGACGAGAAACAUUAUUUCAUUUCAUGCAUUGUUUAGACAAGAUUUUUGUUAUUCAGCUAAUGAUUUGAUUGGUUCAAUUUUUAUUUAUAAAAAUGGUGUUUUUAUAUUUGCAUCUUUACCUUGUAAUGGUGUGUAUGAAAAUAUGAUUUGUGUUGAUAGCUUAGGCAAUAAUGUAUUUCACAUUGAUUCAUCUAAUGGUUUGGACAAGGCAUGCUUGUAGCAUUGUCGUCUUGGGUACAUUAAUAAGAAACGUAUCGCUCAACUCCAAAAGGAUGGAGUCUUGGAAUCAUUUGACCUAAGGCUAGAUGAUGAAUGCAAAGCUUGUCUUUUGGUCAAGAUGACAAAAUCACCUUUCACUGGAUCUUAUGAAAGAGGUGAAGGUUUUUUAGGACCUUAUACACACAGAUGUGUGUGGACCUUCAAAUCCACCACAAGGGAUGCUAAUCGAUUUUAUGUAACAUUUACGGAUGAUUUUGGCAGGUAUGGUUUUAUCUACUUGAUCAAACAUAAAUAAGAACCUUUUGAAAAGUUCAAAGAGUUUCAUCAUGAAGUCAAGAAUGAGUUAGGUAGGAAGAUAAAGAUACUCUGAUUGGAUAGAGGAGGAGAAUAUCUUAGUAUCGAAUUCAACGACUAGCUCAAGUAAUGUGGAAUAGUUUCACAACUGACUCCUCCUAGAACACCACAACUUAAUGGUGUGGCUGAGAGGCGCACUCUAACCAUGCUGGACAUGGUUCGUUCCAUGAUGAGUCGAGUCACUCUUCCUAUUUCCUUCUGGGGGUAUACCUUAGAGUCAGCCACCCAUAUCCUCAAUCUUGUCCCAACGAAAAAAGGUUUCCAAAAAACCUCACGAAAUAUGGACAAGGAAAGUUCCCUCGUUAGCACAUAUCAAAGUCUAUGGUUAUGAAGCUUUCAUUAGAUGAGAGACUCAUGACAAGAUAGAAGCCAGAAGUAAGAGAUGUAUUUUCAUUGGCUACCCACAAAAGUAUUUUGGAAACUUGUUUUACAGACCUAGUGAAAAUGUGGUCUUUUUAGCAUGAAGAGGAGUCUAGAGAGAGAGAUAGAUAGAUAGAGAGAGAGAGAGAGAGAGAGCGUAUAUGUAAAGAGGAUAAUGGGAACAUAAUUGAACUUGAAGAGAUUUUAGAGUCAACCAAUAAAGGAACCUUAGAAGACACUAGCACUCAACCAAAGGAAGAUAUUCCAGUUGAUAAUUCAUUACCUCUUCGUCGUUCCAGUUGAGUUAGCAUGCCACUAACAUUCCAUGGUUUGCAUAUAACGCCAGAUGAUGAUACAUUUAUUAGUGAUCAAACACUAAUAAAUUUCGAUGAGCCAGCUAACUACAAGGAAGAGAUGGCAGGCCCUGAGGGUACCAAAUGGAAAGAGGCAAUGGACAACGAGAUCAAGUCCAUGUAUGACAACCAAGUUUGGAAUUUGGUUGAUCAAGAACCUAGUUGAAAGACAGUUGGUUGAAAAUGGAUCUUCAAGAAGAAGACCGACAUAGAUGGAAAUGUGCACACAUUCAAGGAACGAAUGGUUAUGAAGGGAUUUACUCAAACCUAAGGAUUGACUAUAAUGAGACAUUCUCACCAGUCGCCAGGAUAAAAUCUAUUAGGAUAAUGCUUGCCAUAGCUUCUUUUCAUGAUUAUGAAAUUUGGCAGAUGGAUGUCAAAACCGCUUUUCUUAAUGGAACUGGUUGAAGAUGUUUACAUGAGUCAUCCAUAGGGUUUUGUUGAUGCAAAGUUUCCCAAUAUAGUGUGUAAGCUUGAGAAAUCCAUUUAUGGAUUGAAACAUGCAUCUCGCAGCUGGAAUCUUUACUUCCAAGAGAAAGUGAAAUAGUUUGUUUUUUUUCUAACAGUGAAGAUGAUAAUCGUGUGUAUGUCAAGGCUAGUGGGGGUAUAGUAACUUUUCUAGUAUUGUAUGUUGAUGACAUACUACUUAUAGGAAACGACGUUCCAACCUUGCAAGAAGUAAAAUCUUAGUUUGGAAAGGGUUUCGCUAUGAAGGCUCUAAGAGAGGGUGCCUAUAUUCUUGAGAUAAUAAUUUUGAGAGGUAGAAAAGAAAGAAUGAUUAGACUUAGUCAAAGUACAUACUUGGACAAGGUACUAAAAUGAUUUAUUAUGGAAAAUCCAAGAAAUGAGAGAUACCUGUUCAGAGCAUUUCCAAAUUGAGUAAGACUCAAAGCCCCUGUACAGAUGAAAAGAUAGACGAUAUGAGUUGAUUCCCUUAUGCUUCCGCUUUAGGAUCGAUCAUGUAUCCUAUGCAUGUACUCACCAUGAUGAGUCAUUUUCUUUAAGCAUACUCAGUCGCUAUUAAGGAAAUCCUGGCAGAGCUCAUUGGACAGCAGUUAAAAGCAUUCUCAAGUAUCUGUGAAGGACAAAAGGUAUGAUUCUAUUCUUUGGAGGCAGUGAUACAUUGAGAGUGACUGGAUAUAGUGAUGCUAACUUUCAAAAAGAUAGAGACGACUUUCGUUCUCAUUCUAGCUGGGUGUUGACAUUAAAUGGUGGAGCAGUUACUUGGAGAAGUUUCAAGCAAGACACAAUAGCUGAUUCUACGUGCGAAACAGAGUACAUAACGGUAAGUGAGGAGAGUUUCAUUGGAAGACAAUCAUAUAGAUCCUCUCACAAAGGCUCUAAGUAUGAUUAAACAUAUUUAGCAUGCUAGGAACAUUGGUUUGAGAGAUGAAAUUAGUUUUAGUAGUUAGAUGAUUAGUUUGAAACCUAUAACAAAAUAAAUGUAAUUGAUUUUUAGUGAUUAAAUAAUAGAGAUUAUUUAUGAGUUUGUUUACCUCCUUUGUCAAUUAUUUAUUCUUGUGUUUCAUUUUGCAUGUUUUACUUCCCAAAUAAUUUAAUUAUUCAAAUUCCACGGUCACUCAUACUUUGGGAAGUAAGUAGUGAAUUAAGACUGUCAUGAAUUGGAUUGUAGAUUUUCUAAGGGGGUUAGACAUAACAAUUGAAUUGCUAAAACAUUCAUGAGUACUUAGAAAUGGAGAUUGAAGUAUUGGAUAAAAUCACGCUCGGAGAAUUACUUCAUGGAUUAUAUCACGAGUAAUUCUGAGAAGAUAAUAUCUUACAUUCUUAAAAAGGAGAUAUAUGAGUUGUAAUUUACAAUUCGGUUGUGCAUUGGUAUGACGAAAACGCAUAAAAAACUGGAUGUUAUAAAACGUAGUGUCAUGUAUAAUUUGAUAAGUAAAGGAUACAAGCAUAUGAGUCAAAUUUUAUUCGUUCCUUUUUCCCUAAUGUAAAAAACGAUAUCUUUGGGCCCCUAAAUGAUUUGGUGUUGACUUAUAGUUCUGGGACCAGCCAGGACUCGAUUGAUGUGUUCAAUUUGAAGUCUUAUGUAGUCAUCACAAAUCAGGAUAUUGAGAAAUGAAACUUGGACAAUGAGAUUGAUUGUAAGCAUGUUUUGUGUCUAUAUGAUAUCUAGUAGAAUGGUGAAAUAUUUAAACACUUAUCUUAGGACGAAUGUAUGUUUUGAUCAAAGUUCGUCAGUUGUUAUGGAAACACUCUUUGUUGUCUAAUUUAGAAGUUAUACUGGUAAUUGCAGUUAUAGAUUUAUCCAAGUGGGAGAAUAUUGGAUUAGAUGUCUAACCCAAUAACUAAAUUAGUAUGUCCUUUGGCGUUGCCCUCAAACCUAGCAGUUGAAUAGGAUGACUUAUAUANNNNNNNNNNNNNNUAUAUAUAUAUAUAUAUAUAUAGAGAGAGAGAGAGAGAGAGAGACAUUGAUAUAGUGAUUUAUUAUAUGAUUAAUAAAUAGCAAUAAAUAAAUUUAUUAAUGUGUUAUGAAAACUAUAUAUUAAUUAGAAAUUGUAUUAGUUAAUCAAUAAUUAAUCAGAAAUUAAUUGGAAUUAAUUUUGGGAUUAAUUGGAUUAAUUAAAAGUUCAAGGUUUAGAGUGUAAUUGUUUAAUUGUUGAACAAAAGAGGUUCCAGAACUUUCCUUGGAAUGAGUGGACGAUUUUAUGGUAUUCUAAGUCAUCUGUAAUAUUCCUUGCAGAUAAAUAAGAAUCUGGAUAAUUACCAAUUGGAAAAGGAACCCUUGGCCUUGUAUUUUUGGCCCCUUCUCCUUUCCUAGAUUUACCCGAAAAUUCUAUCUCCCCUCUCCUCUCUCUUUAAUCCUCCUUGUUGCUAGGGAUGUGUGUGAAUCAUCAGAGGCAUGAGAUUUCUGGUGCUAGUUUCCAAGCAACUACAAGAAGGAUUGUUUGAUUGUUUAUUAUAACAAUCAAGUGGUAUGUUUUCUUCUAUGAUUUUUGUAAUUACCUAGGGUUAUAGGGUUCUUUUUGUUCAAUAGAAUGUUACUUUAAUAUAGUUAUGACUAGAUCUAAUAGGUUGCAUGUACCAUUAAGUGUAUAAGGAUUUAUCCGCGUUAUUGCAUGUAAAAUCCAACAAAACAAUUGGUGGAUGAAGUGACUGUUAGUGCUAACAUGGCAAGUACUUCAUGUAAUUAUGUUUUUGUGAACACUCUAAAGUCAAAUAAAGGGUGGUUGAUUCUUGGGUUAAUUAACAUAUGACCUCCUCAGAAUCUAUGCUUAAUGAUGUUUUUAAUGUGUCUAAUGUAAAUUCAAUAUUGGAUUGUCCAAAUGGAUCCACUGCUAAAAUUGAUAAAAUUAGGAACAUGAACAUUUCUGAAAAACUUACACUAUUUGAUGUAUUUGUUAUACUCGAUUUCAAUGUAAAUCUUUUAUCUGUUCACAAGCUAUGUAAGGAUAGUAAAUGUAAAGUUCUUUUUGAUAAAUAUAAUUAUACUAGGUGGGAUUCACAAUCCAUGGAGAUUGUGGAGACUAGUAAUGAGGGAGGAGGACUUUAUUAUUUUUCUAGUAUUCCCUUAGGAAAGCCUUCUAACAAUUCUAGUGUCAUUAAAUGUUUUGUCUCUAAACUGACCUGGCAUAGAAGACUUAGUCAUCCUCCAAAGAAAGUUUUAAUUGCUUUAAAAGACAAAUUAAACUUUAUUAAUAACUCCUUACCACCUUCUGAAAUAUGUCAUAAAGCUAAACAAACUAGCGAAAUAUUUCCUACAAUUAUUUACUCGUAUAAAAAUAUUGGGGAUAUAAUUUACCAUGAUGUUUGCGGGGCUUACAAAGUGGUUGUAAUUGGGGGUUUUAGGUUUCUCUGACUAUAGUGGAUGAUUUUUCUAUAGGAACAUGGAUAUAUCUCCUCAAGUCUAAAGAGGAGGUGUAUUCUUGUGUUUUAAUUUUUUAAAUUUUGUUGAAAAUCAUUUUUUAAAAUGGUGUGAUACAAUGAAUUUUAGUUAUAUUCUGAGGAUAUAUAUANNNNNNNNNNNNNNNNNNNNNNNNNNNNNNNNNNNNNNNAGUAAUGUCACUUGGAACUUAGAUAAUAACUUUUAAAAUGAAACAGAGUAAUAAAAAGGCAUAGACUGAAGGAAAGCAAAAAUGAAUGUUGUUCAAAAUAAAUGGGGAACAUUUAUGAUGAUUGUGAAUAUUUAGAGUUUGGGGAGUAGUUAGGAUCUAGACAUAAAUAAAUGCAUUGAGGUGAAAGAUAAUUGAUAAAUUAUGUUGUUGGUGAGCAAGGUUUUGAUGUGGUAGUAUUAAAAUUAAAUCAUAAUGCCUCAAGUUUUGCUUGGGUUCAAGCAAAAGAAUAGUGUGUGGUAUUUUGAUAUAGCGCUAUUUAAAUAUAUUUUAAGGCAUUAUCGUAAUAUAUUUGAGGAAAAAUGUUAUCUUUUAAGAUAGAUACUUAAUAUGAUUUGAAAUGUUCAAUUAUUGUUAAAAUGGAACCUGGGAUGCAAAAGGAGGAGAAUGGAGCUGAAAAAGACGCAAAAAAGGAUGUUUUUGCACAGAUUGACAUCUCUUUAGUAUUUUGGCCUAUCUAAUGACUCAUAACACCGAUUAUGGAUAUUCAAAAUGUUAUGAAAACUAGACAAAAUUUCGGACGACUUUUGUGUUUGUGCCAACUACAAAUUUCCAGUUCCCAUGUUGUGGCAAAGGCAUUACCACGAUGUGGUGGAUCAAAAAUCACAAAAAAUGCUUUUGUCAGUUUACACGGUUGACUACGAUAGGGAUUCCAGUUAUCACGACGUGUCAAGUCUUUUACCAUGAUGUGGGGACGCUUAAACCUAUAAAUAAAUCUAAAAAUUAACCCUAAUGAUAUAUCUUAAAUCCUAGUUCGAUUUCUGUGAUUAUAAACCUUAAAGUUGCGAUUUUGAGAGUCUAGAAGGCAAUAUGAGGGCCGUUAAGCUGAUAUGGAGCGAAGACCUGAAGGAUUCUAGAGCAGAUUCAUGACGAGAUUCAUUUGGUUUUCUUUUCCGAUCACGAUUAGUAUUCCAAUUGUGUUCCUACUAUGUUUACUUUCUGAAUUUGGGUGUUGAAACAUUUGCUUUUGUUUGGAGUAGAUGAACUUCGAUAAUAUGUGUUGAAUUCAAUAAUUCAUAUUUUAUUAGUUUGGUUGUUAAUUGUGGUUGAUUGAUCGCAUCACCUAUCAUGUUAAAGUUAUGAUUUUUAUUGCAUAUUGAUGAAUUAUGUGUAGUUCAGAUGACCAAUCUGAUUACAUUGACUUGAAUCUUAGCUGUUUUAUGAAUAUAAAGUGUUAGGAUUAGUAAUCGAAAAAAUCCUAGGGUUAGGUUAUAUUAAUUGGUGAUUUCGAAUGUGUUAGAGAGCUUAGAUAUCCAUGCUAAUCGAGAUUAAACAUGUCAUUGAAAAGUUCAAUGAAUCUCAAAAGAAUCUAGGAAUUUCAUUUCAUUUAAAACCUAAAUGUUCAUUUCGUUUUUCGUGGUGGAAUUGGUAAAUCGUCACUUACCUACCUUCAUAUAAUUUGCAAUUGGAUUACGGCAUCCCUCUUCCGAAUUGUGAAUUAUAGUGUUGGGUCCUACCUUUAAUAUUUCAUUUGGGUGUUGUAUUAAGGAUUGCUUAUCUAAUAGAAACUUUUUUCCUUUUCUUUUUCAGUUGUCUGGCUCAAACAAUGCUUCUAGCUUGAACUCCUCAAGCUCCUUUUCUCUUAUGAACUUUUGUGGGAGGGUCACCUUUGAUGAAUCCAAUUUCAAUGAUUGGAUCCGCAACAUUCGCAUGGCCCUUCGAUACGAGGAGAAAGAAUACGUCCUCGAUGAAAAGCUUAGAGAGAUAAAUGAAACCAAAGCUUCUGCUGAAGAAAUAACUGAGUAUAGGGAUAACGAAAAAGACACGACAAAGGUGUCGUGUAUAAUGGUAGCCACUAUGACUCCUGAGCUCCAGCUAUUCUACGAGGACUACCGACCUUACAAGAUGUGCCAAGAUUUGAUAGGAAAGUACCAUCAAAGUGCGUGUCAAGAGAGGUACGAGAUUUUCGCCUCAUUGAUAACGACCAACAUGAAAGAUGGAGAGUCCAUCACGAGCCACUUACAAAGAAAGCAAAGGUAUAUGGAUCGAUUGCUCAUGUUAAAUUUCAACUUUGACAAAGGGUUGGCGAUUGUGUAACACUCUAAAAAUUCCAACCAAUUUAAACUUUUCAAAAACAACCCAGUUUCAUUAAGUUAUUACAAAAAGGUUUUCAAUACAUUUAUUAUCGGAGUAUUCCCAGAACCAUAUCAUAAAACAAGAAAAUGAGGAGUUGUACGAUCACGCCUUCGCUUUGCCACGGUCUCCUGAAGUACCUGAAAGACAUUAAACCACAACUGUAAGCCCGAAAGCUUAGUGAGAUGCCCCCAAAAUACCAACCACAUAUACCACACAUAACAUAUCAUAACCGAAUAGAACAGCCAUGCACUUCGGGUUUACUUGUGUGACUGGUCCGCCACACCGGGCCUUCAGUCCACCGGGUCCUCCCUCCGGGUCUAGCCAUAUCCAUUGAGUCUGCAGUGUGGUUGGUCCGCCUGCACCGGGCCUUCAACCCACCUGGUCCACCCUCUGAGUCUACAGUAUGACUGGUCCGCCCGCACUAAGCCUUCAGUCGUCCUGGUCCAUUCUCCGAGCCUCGGCACAUCUGGUCCGCCCUCGUGGGGUGUUCAGCCUAUCCGGACCGCUCGCUGGGCCUCGGAAUAACCGGUCCGCCCUGGGUAUGUUGGCCUACAACACAAAGCAGGACUCGCCUCAACCUAACUCCAAUCCAACAACCAUGUGCACAUAAACAUUCAAUCAUAUAACAAUUCACAUCCAAUCAAACCGAUCUAGCAGAUCACAUAACAUCACAUCAUCCUAACCAAGAUACCGACCUAACCGGUCACUAGCAUAGCAUCAUCCUACAUAUCAGGAUACCGGACAUAGCAAAGCAAUAACAUAACAACAAUACCCAGAUUACAAUCUGAUAAAGGGCCGGUCUUGGUGCCGCAGACCCUGUCGAUAUAGUGAGGAUAACUCACCUCGCAACUGCCGACUGAAAAGAUAAAAACGAGCUGCUCCGACCACUGACACGAACUCCACCACUGAUAAUACCAAAAGACUGAACUCAAUAACCACCAAAUAAUUACCAAAUUACCCCUGGGAGGUCAAUUUGUCAACUCUUGGUCAAAUUCAAAGUCCUCAGUUAAAGUCAACUCUCUUGACUGACUCUACUCGCCGAGUUACCCCGUUGACUCAUCGAGUUCCCUUGCUCAGAAAACUCCCAAAUCACAAUUCAACUCGCCGAGUCACCCCGAGACUCGCCGAGUUCCACAACUCUGAGUCCCCUCGCACUCAACUCACUGUGUCAUCCCUUGACUCACCGAUUCACGACUCAACCAGAAGAGGUUAGGACCUCCCGACCAGACUCGCCGAGUCCAAGGCCAUCUUCAACCAACUCGCCGAGUUGUUCUUCCAACUCGUCGAGUUCCUGCCUAUCUUCAUGCAACUCACUGAGUACACCCUUGUGACUCACCGAGUACCCCUAGGUCUUAAUCCAUACAGAGGCUUUCCAGGCCAUGCGGAUGAUCCAAACAAUAGAUCUACCAUUCCACAAGCCAUCCAUCACGUAAAGUGGCAAACUUUACGUGAAUCCAAAGAGAUCUAGGCAUAUAACACUUUAGGGUUAGGGUUUAGGACAAGAUGGCUUCACCAAUCACUCAAGAACAGGGACUUUUAUGCACUCUAGACCUUCUCCAUUCCAGAUCUGAGGUAGCAACCUCAUAUCUAACCUCCAAACUCAAAAUAUCAUAAGAUAUGCUUUCCAAAAACUCCAAAAUGAUGAAUCUAGAUGAAUAACAGCCCAAGCAACGAAAUAAUACCUCAAAAGAAAACUCCAACAGAAGAGUAAUCCAAAUCCUUGCAAAGCCCUUUGCUCCAAGCCUCUUAACCUUCAAAGAUCUCUUCCACAAACACUCCUCCAAGGUUCAAAUGCUCUCUAAUUCACUCACAAACGCGCAUUAGGGUUUCUAGACUUCAAGGGAGAGUAAGGAGGCUGGGGAGGGGGUAUUAUGUCCCUUAUAUAGGACUCAACCCCCAGAAUUAGGGUUUUCUCCACACAACACCAACUCGCCGAGUCCAGCCACCGACUCGCUGAGUUGGCCACUUAACACGCGACCAGAAUCGCGACCCUACUCGCCGAGUCCACCCAUGGACUCGCCGAGUUGAUCAUCCACAUUUUCACUAUGAUCCCUGAACUUGCACUCCUGAGCUUGGGAUGUUACAGAUUGAUAUCAUUCUCUACUCUUUACCUCGUUGAUAUGAUCAGUACAAGAUGACUUAUGAUAUGAACAAGGAGGAAGUCACCUUGAGAAAACUUCAAGGUUUGUUGAGAACUGCUGAAAGUGGAAUGAAAACUAAAGCUGUCAAGUCCACCCCUACUAUUGCUGCCCCCGUCCUUGCAAUAGGACAUGAAAAAGGAAAGAAGAGGAAAGCUCCCUCUAAGAGCCACACGGGAAAGUCUCGUGAUGGAUCCUCCUUAAAUGGAUCCAAAGGUAAAUCCAGUUCUGCCACUCCCUCAUCCGAUCCUAAAAAAAGCAACGUGCUUUUAUUGUCACGGGAUGGGGCAUUGGAAACAAAGUUGCCCGAAAUACUUGUAGUACAUCAAGGAUGGGAAGAUAAAACCCUCCUUCGCAUGUAUUUAUACUAUUCAAUCUAAUAAGUCAUCACAUGCUAGUUGUUGGGUCCUUGAUAUAGGAUGUGGUUUUCACAUUUGUUCUGCUUUGCAGGGGCUAAGAAGAAAUAGGGAUGUGGAGCAUGGGAAGAUGAACCAGAUAAUAGGGAAUAGGAAAUCGUCGCCUAUCACCAAGAUCCGGAUUUAUUCUUUAGUGAUUAGUAGUGGGUUAGGUUUAGAGUUGAAUGAUUGUUGCUACUCAUCAGAAAUGACGAGGAAUAUUAUUUCUUUUCAUGGUUUGUACAAACGAGGUUUUAGAUUUUCAUUUAAUAGUGAAAUUGGUUCUAUUAAUGCUUUAUAUAAUGGUACUUUAUAUUUUGAUGCAUUUCCAAUGGUGUAUAUGAAACUAUGAUGGUUGUAGACAACUUAGGAAAUAAUGUGUUGCAUAUCGAUUCGUCUAAUGGUUUAGACAAGGCAUUCUUGUGGCAUUGUCGCCUUGGACAUGUCAACAAGAAACGCAUAGCGCAACUCCAAAAGGAUGGAGUCUUGGAGUCUUUUGACCUAAAGUCAGAUGACACGUGCAAAUCUUGUUUGUUUGGAAAAAUGACUAAAUCACCUUUCAAUGGUACUUCUGAAAAAGGUGAGGCAUUGUUGGUGUUGGAUAAGGUGUCUAAGUCCGUAACUAUAUUUGGUAUCAACUUGACCCGACCCAGCAUGGUCCAUUUGGGUUGCACUUCACCUAACAAUUUGUAUGGAUAUACUUUUGAAAAUAAGAUAUUUAUGAUAUAUUAAUAUAUUAUUAGUUAUAAUAUAUUAAUAUGAUAUCAUAAUUAUUUAAUUAGUAUUGAUCAAGAAUUAAUUUAGAAUUAAUUAAGUGAUCAAAAUGGAGCUAAUUAAAUAUGGACUCUUAUUUAUAUAUAUGGAUUAGGCUAAGAUUUAUUUAGGAUGGGCUAAGUGUAUAUGGAGUCCAUGGAUAGUCCAUGGAGCUUUUAACCCAUGGAUCCUAGGUAAAUGAAGAGUCACAGGUAUUAGGGUUUAACCCUAAUCCUCCAUACUAUAUAAAGGAGUCCUUGGUUCGAGAAUUGGCACUAGUGUGUGUGUGUGAGCAUAAGAGUGAGCCGAUUUAUACGAGUGUUCUUAUUCUCUCAAGAGCUUCCAACUUGUUUUGGUGAUUUGUGACAUCACUUGAGGCAUCCACACUAUUGGUGCUAGCCUCAAAACUCCAAGCAAUCAACUACAAAAGAAAGGUAUGUUAUUCUACUUAAUGUUUUAUAAUACAAGUACCCCAUAACAUGCUAGUUAGGUUGUGAACCAUGGAAUUCAUAUUUGCAUGUAUUUUAUAGAAAACAUAGAUCCAAGGUUUCUAGGGUUGCAUGUACACCACAAGAGUGUUAUUAUGCUCAUAACCCAACAUUUGAAUCUCUUACAUACCGAUAUGUGUGGGCCCUUCAAAUCCACCAUAAGGGAUGCUAACCGCUUCUAUGUUACGUUCACUGAAGAUUAUAGCAGAUAUGGGUAUAUCUACUUAAUCAAGCAUAAGUCGGAAACCUUUGAAAAGUUCAAAGAGUUUAAACAAUAAGCGGAGAAUCAAUUGGGCAGGAAGAUACAGAUGCUCAUAUUUGAUAGGGGUGGUGAGUAUCUUAGUAUCGAGUUCCACGACUAUCUUCAUGAAUGUGGAAUUUUUUCACAACUGACGCCGCCUAGGACACCGCAGCUCAUUGGUGUGGCUGAGAGGCACAAAUGAACCUUAUUGGACUUGGUUUGUUUAAUGAUGAGUCGAGCUUCGUUACCUAUCUCAUUUUGGGGGUAUGCCUUAGAGACUGCCACCCAUAUCCUUAAUCUAGUCAUAACUAAGAAGGUUUCCAAAACACCUCACCAGAUAUGGACAUGGAAGGUUACCUCGUUGGAACAAAUCAAGGUUUGGGGUGGCGAAGCUUUCGUAAGACGAGAGACUCACAACAAACUUGUGUUGGAUUAGGUGUCUAAGCCCAUAACUAUAAUUGGUAUGUACUUGACCCGAUAGUAGCAUGAUCCUUUUGGGUUGCAUUCACCAGGGCAAUUUUGAUAGGAUGGAUAUUUAAGAAAGAGGUUCUUUGUGAUUUAUUAAUAUAUUAUAAGUAUAAUAUAUUAAUUGACAAAUCAUAUUAUUUAAUUAGUAUUGUUCAAGAAUUAAUUUAGUGUUCAAAGAAGACUAAUUAAAUUAACAUGGACUGAUUAAGUAAAUCAGUGAUACUUAUAGUUUGGGCUAAUGAUCAAUGUUGAUUACGUAGACUAAAUCUUUGUGGAGUCCAUGAAGAUUUAGUCCAAAUGGCUUAUCAUAUGGAUUAUUGGAUUAAAGGCCCAAGGGAGUGGAUUAGGGUUUACAAGUUGAAACUCUAGGAAUUCCACACUAUAAGUGUAACUCUUUAGCUCCAAAACUGGCACCCAAGGAUUCCAAGUAGAAUCCUAGCCGAUUUUGUGUGUUCAUGACCUCUCUCUCUCUUUAUCAUCCAUUUGUUCAUGGUGUCUUGUGAUUCCAUUAGAGGCAUCACACUUAAGGUAUUCAACCAACUUGAUUUUAUGUUGCAAAUAUCAAAUUGUAUGCUAGUUGUAGGCUUCAUGCUUUGGAUAAUUUUAUUGCAUGUAUAACUAGAGAAAACUUAGAUCCAAAGCAUUAGGGUUGUAUGUGCACCAUAGGAAUGUUAGAGUACAUAAAACCCAACAACUUGAAACUCGCAGUGAGCGGUGUAUUUUCAUUGGCUACCCGCAGAAGUCUUUUGGAUAUCUUUUCUAUAGAACGAGUGACAACGUCGUCUUUGUAGCAAGUAGAGGGGUUUUUCGAGAGAGAGAACUCAUAUGCCAAGAAGACAGCGGGAGGCAAACUGAUAUUAAAGAGCUUCAAGAGUCAAGUGAUGAAGGAACCUCUAACACUAGCGCUCAAUUUGAGGAAGAGAUUCAUGUUAAACCAGUUGAUGAGUCCUUACCUCUAAGACGUUCUAGUAGAGUUAGUGUUCCACCUAUGUUGUAUCGUUUCCACAUAACUGCUGAAGGUGAUACAUUUAUCAAUGAUAGUACUGUAACAUCCCAAAUUUCGAGGCCAAAAAUUUCAUUUUUAGAAUUUAGCAUGUAAUAAGGCGUGUUACUAAAACAUUGUCAAAGUUACAUUAAUUAUAAAACAUAAGGUCAUGUCUCAAAAUGAUAUCAUCGGAACAAGAAAAUCAGAGUACAAUCCCAGAAAAUCCAGUGCGGAAAUCAUGUGUGUGAUGCGCCGCUACACCGCCGGCUCUUUCCCCUUUGACGAAGAGGUACCUGAAACCGCAAUUAAAACUGUAAGCACGAACCUUAGUGAGUUCCCCCAUCAUACCACAUACCAUUCAAUGCCAUCGGUAUUGUUCAACCGGUAAUCAUCUUCGGUAUCUUUCAACCGGUAAUCAUCAUCGGUAUCUUACAACCGAUAAUCAUCAUCAGUAUCUUUCAACCGGUAACUGGGGUCUAUUCCACCCCCUACUACUACUGACAUACAACAACAAGGUAUAAGCAUACAAUCAGGCAUAUCCGAGUACUGACGUACUCUUCGGUCCUAAAAGACCAUUGUUAGGGAAAAACUAUCCCUAUCAUACACAUAACAUAUCAUACAGAAAUAUCUCAUAACCAAACACGUAUCCAUACCGAGAUAAUUAUCACGAAGACAAUCAUCUUCUAAAAUAAUCCUACUUGGUGGGCCGGCAUUGUGGCCUUAGACCCACCCUUAUUGAAAGGUAACUCACCUCAAAAGGCUGACUGCUGAAAAACUGAUCCGCAAAUGUCUGACAGCUACUCCGGUGAUCCCCCGGCUAUAUUCCUAUAAAACACUUAAUCAGACAAUAAUACUAAUCCUAGGGUAAAAAGACUAUUUUACCCCUGAUCGAUUCCAAACCAAAGUCAAGUCAAAGUCAACUUCCAGUUGAUCCGACUCGCCGAGUUGGCAUGCCAACUUGUCGAGUUCAUAUCCAGCCGAUUGACCUUACUCCCGCCUCUACUCGUCGAGUUAGGCAUUGACUCGACGAUUUCUCUUCCUAACUGAAUACACAAUGGUCCUUCAUCCAACUCGUCGAGUUAAUAUUCAUCCGAUGAACACGUUCUGUCCUCGACUCGCCGAGUUGAUGAAUAACUUGCCGAGUUUUAUGAAGAUUGCCUUGGACCCGCCGAGUCAGGGCAUUGACUCGCCGAGUCCCUCCAUUGAUGAGUUUGGCUUCCGACUCACUGACUCUACCUAUGGCUCACUGCUCUACUCGCCUUCUCGAAAAGGGGAAAAAUCGGGGACUCGCUACUCGACUCGCCGAGUUCGAAGAACAACUCGCCGAGUCGCAUCCAUGCAAUCUCUCUAUACUCGAUUCUGCUUGAAUCCAGUGCAUUCCAUUCAUAGAUCUGGGUUCCUAGGACUCGGUUAACACGUAAAGUUUCCAACUUUACGUGUAUAUAAUCAUCCAUGGGGAUUCUAAGGCUCAAAACACACAAAAAGGGGUAGAUCUAGGGCUUUCAUGCAAUAUGGCCCCAUAAAGGUAUUAGAUCUAGGCUUCUGGAACUCGAACAUAGCCAGAUCUAGCAGCUAUUCAGCCCAUUAUGAUCCCUAUACUACUGACAAGCUUGGAAAUGGGUCAAAGAUAGCUUAAUGGUGUUCUAAUGGGGAUUUGAGCAUAGAAACAGAAUAGAUCCGAAUUGUAACUCAAUGAACUCUGGAGUAAGUCCUAGAUUCUUGCUCUUCACCUUCUCUUUUGGUCUUUCCUUCCUUCUCUUCUUCAAACUCCAAGGAACAAGCACAAGAUUACUUCAAAUCACAAGGAGAGGGUUAGGGUUCGGUAUAUGAUGCUUUGAGGGUGAUGGAGGCUAACUUGGGGCGCAUAAAGGGGGUUUAAAUAGGGUGCAAACCCCUGAAAUUAGGGUUUCUUCAAGACUGAUGGACUCGCCGAGUCUCGAACUUAAACGUGCUCAAAAUCCCGUCCCUACUCGGCGAUUCUGGCCUACGACUCGCCGAGUCCAAGGCUAAAAAAGGUAAAAUACUCAGAUAAAUCAUACAUACCAGGAACCAGGUGCUACAAGUCUCCCCCGCUUAUUUUAGACUUCGUCGUCGAAGUCUGUUGCUCGAUCCUGAAAUAGCUCGGGGUAAUGCUCCAUCAUUUCCUUCACCGGCUCCCAAGUCCACUCCGAACCCUUCCGGUGCUGCCAUGGCACCUUCACAAGUUCCACCCUGUUGCUCUUUAGAUCCCUCGACUUUCGGUCGAGGAUUACCACUGGUCGCUCAAUGUAAUUCAGGUUGCCAUCGACCUGAAUAUCCUCCAGGGGUACCACCGCUGAGUCGUCCACCAGACACUUUCGUAAAUGAGAAACAUGGAAAGUGUUGUGUAUCUGACUGAGUUUGGAUGGCGGAUCCAGCCUAUACGCCACCUUGCCCACCCGGGCCAGAACCCUGAAAGGUCCAAUGUAUCUGGGGCCCAACUUGCCCCGUUUCCUGAAUCGGAUGACGUCGUUCCAUGGCGACAACUUCAGGAGAACCAUAUCCCCGACCUGGAAUUAUAGGUUUGAUCGGCGCUUGUCGGCGUAACUCUUCUGCCGACUCUGAGCAGUCUGAAGCCUGCUCCGAACCUGUUGAAUCCUCUCGGUCGUCUUGAGCACCACUUCGGUGCUCUCCAUGACCCUUUGGCCUACCUCACCCCAACAUAUCGGGGUCCUACACCUCCUUCCGUAUAACAUCUCAAAAGGAGGACGGUCAAUACUCGUGUGGUAACUGUUGUUGUAUGAGAACUUAGCCAAAGGAAGAUAGGUAUCCCAGCAACCACUGAAGUCUAGCACGUAUGCCCACAGCAUAUCCUCCAGAGUCUGGAUGGUCCUCUCAUUCUGACCAUUUGUCUGCGGGUGAAAAGCAGUGCUAAAAUGUAGACGAGUACCCAGCUCGUCAUGGAACUUCUUCCAGAACCUGGAAGAAAACCGCACAUCCCUGUCCAAAAUCACCAAAACUAGCACUCCGUGCCGCGCCACCACCUCCCUGAUAUAGAUAUCGGAUAAUUUCUCGGCCGAGAUGCUCUACUGAAUCGGGAUAGAGUGGGCGCUCUUGGUCAAUCGAUCGACGAUGACCCAGAUCGAAUCCACUCCCCGCGCGGUCCUAGGAAGCUUGGUGAUAAAAUCCAUCGUGAUGUCUUCCCAUUUCCACAACGGAAUCUCUAACGGCUGCAUCUUGCUGUGGGGCCUCUGGUGCUCGGCCUUGACCUUCCUGCAGGUCAAGCACUGCUCCACGUACCAAGCGACAUCCCACUUCAUGCAGGGCCACCAAUAGUCCAGACGAAGAUCCCUAUACAUCUUCGUCGCCCCGGGAUGAAUGGAGAACCGGGAUUUGUGCACCUCCUCCAUCAGAACCUGGCACACGCCUCCAUGAUAAGGGACCUACACCCUACGGUGAAGAGUCAACAACCCUCGGCUAUCAUAGUUGAAGGAGGAAACCUGCCCCACAAUCCGCUCACUCUUCCAAUGUUCCUCCUUCAUAGCCUCCUGCUGGGCCUCUCGAAUCCGCUCCAAAAGCGGAGUCACCACUGUCAUCCUCAGGCAAAUAUCUCGGAUCGGCGCUGCCUUGCGGCUAAGCGCGUCAACCACCACAUUGGCUUUCCCCGGGUGGUAGAGGAUCACACAAUCAUAAUCCUUUACCACGUCAAGCCACCGACGCUGCCUCAUGUUCAGAUUCGGCUGGUCCAUGAGAUACCUCAGGCUCUUUUGGUUCAUGUAAAUGGUACAACGAACCCCAUAGAGGUAAUGACGCCAAAUCUUGAGGGCGAACACAACAGCCCCCAACUCCAAAUCAUGCGUCGGGUAGUUCGCCUCGUGAGGCUUCAGUUGCCUUGAAGCGUAAGCAAUAACGUGCCCUCUCUGCAUCAACACUGCGCCCAAACCCGAGAUGGAUGCAUCACAAUACACAACAAAAUCCUCUAUGCCCUCUGGCAGGGCUAAGAUUGGUGCCUCGCAUAAUUUUUGUCUCAACGUCUCGAAUGCGGCCUGCUGCUCGGGCCCCCAACGAAAAACCACGGCUUUCCCCGUCAACCUGGUCAGAGGUACGACUAUCUUGGAGAAGUCCCGAAUAAAUCUCCGAUAGUAGCCCUCCAAUCCUAGGAAGCUCCGAAUCCCGGAUGGAGACCUCGGGACCUCCCAUUUCAUCACGGCCUCCACCUUGGCCGGAUCCACUAAUAUCCCGUCCUGGUUGACAAGGUGCCCCAAAAACUGCACCACGCGCAACCAGAACUCACACUUGGAGAAUUUAGCAUAUAAGCUCUCCCUCCUUAAAGUACUCAGAUCCUCACGCAAAUGCUCCUCAUGCUGCUCUCGUGUCUUGGAAUAAACCAAGAUAUCUUCAAUGAAAACAAUCACGGACCGAUCCAACAUCGGCCGACACACACGAUUCAUGAGAUCCAUGAACGCGGCAGGAGCAUUGGUGAGCCCGAAAGGCAUCACCACAAACUCAUAAUGAACAUAGCAUGUACGAAAAGCAGUCUUCUGCACAUCCUCCUCUCUGACCCUCAUCUGAUGAUACCCUGACCGCAAAUCAAUCUUGGAGAACCAAGAUGCUCCCUGAAGCUGGUCGAAGAGGUCAUCGAUCCUCGGGGGUGGGUACCGGUUCUUCCCCGUUACCUUGUUCAGCUCCCGGUAGUCUAUACACAUCCGAUGCGACCCGUCCUUCUUCUUUACAAACAUAAUCGGGGCUCCCCAGGGUGAACUACUCGGUCUAAUGAAUCCAUUGUCUAACAACUCCUGCAGCUGUGUAGACAACUCCAGCAUCUCAGGAGGAGCCAACCGAUACGGCGCCUUGGCUAUCGGAGCCGCGCCAGGGACCAGGUCGAUCCUAAACUCUACCUGCCUCUGUGGAGGUAUCCCACGCAACUCCUCGGGGAAUACAUCCAUAAACUCCUGCACCACGGGUACAUCGCCCACUGUCACCUUACCCGCCUCCCGGGUGUCCAUAACAUACGCGAUAUACCCUGCGCAACCCUGCUGAAGGUAGCGCCUGGCUCUCGCUGCUAAACAUACAGCUGGUCCUCGCUGUGGCCUCUCGCCCUGAACUACCAACUCUCCCUCACUUGGGGUCUUGAUCCGUACCAGCUGAUGUGCACAAUCUAUCACUGCCCCAUUGGGGCGCAACCAAUCCAUGCCUAUAAUAAACUUGUUCCCCCGCAAUGGUAUGGGAACUAGUUCUACCAGGUAACGUNUUCCCCCGCAAUGGUAUAGGAACUAGUUCUACCAGGUAACGUUCCUCGAACAGCCUCAAGACACAAUCUCGGUAGACCUCCGAUGCUCGCACUGAUCGGUCGUCUUCAAUCUCGACCUCUAGAGGGCAGUCCAACAUGCUCGAAGACUCAGGAAAUUUCUUGCUAAGCACAAGAGAGACAAAUGAUCGGGUAGCACCCGAAUCAAAUAAUACCUGAACUAGGAUACCGUUCACAUGGAGCGAUCCUAAACACAUAUACACAGGGCACAAUAUCAAUAUCAUAACAUCAUACAAAUAAAUCAGAGGGAAAGAAUCAUACCCGUCACCACAUCGGGUGCAGCGCGUGCCUCCUCGGCUGUCAGCUGAAAAGCUCGGCUCCGAACCACUGGAGCCUCUGACUUGACCUUCCGGCCAUCCAUAACCCGUACUGUUGCUAACGCUGGCGCCACUUCCGGCGCUGUUGCUGCUGUUGGUGCUGUCAACCAGGGACAAUUGGCCUUUUUAUUGCCCUUCUGAUUGCAAUGGAAGCAAAUCAGGUCUGAUUUCUAAAUCGCAGAAUCAGGGGCGGUACAAUCUCUACCAAAAUGUCCAACCUUGCCACACUUAUAGCAGCCUGAACCCGGCCCAGUGCGACAAACUCCCUCAUGUGCCCGACCGCAUUUCCCACAGCGGUCCCGGCCCGUCUGGCCUUUCGGCCUACCAUCGGGUCCCUUGGGCUUCUUCCCCGNNNNNNNNNNNNNNNNNNNNNNNNNNNNNNNNNNNNNNNNNNNNNNNNNNNNNNNNNNNNNNNNNNNNNNNNNNNNNNNNNNNNNNNNNNNNNNNNNNNNNNNNNNNNNNNNNNNNNNNNNNNNNNNNNNNNNNNNNNNNNNNNNNNNNNNNNNNNNNNNNNNNNNNNNNNNNNNNNNNNNNNNNNNNNNNNNNNNNNNNNNNNNNNNNNNNNNNNNNNNNNNNNNNNNNNNNNNNNNNNNNNNNNNNNNNUGAAGCUCCACAGCUGGUGCAAACUCAGCCCCGAAUCGGGUCACGAAAUCUGACCAUGUCAUAGCCUCAAUGGCUAGGGCUCUCAACGUAUUGCCAAUCAACUCCCACCAAUCCCUGGCUCUAUCCCUCAAACAACCUGCAGUGAAACGGACCUUCGACCCUUCCGGGCAGAAGCUCGUCAGCUGUGCAGACUCGAUGUCUGCGAUCCAUCUCCUAGCAGCAAUGUGGUCCUUCACCCCAUGGAAAUCCGGUGCACCACUCCUACGGAAGUCCUUAAAGGACAGCGUACGGAUACCCACUUGGCUAGACGCCAAAUCACUCCUGAAUGCCCGGAGGCGAUCCUCCAUCAGCUCGAUAAUCCCUUCCUUGAUCGACCCGAAAAUGACCGGGGUCGCCUCAAGGAUACCUCUCGUAAUCUCAGACGCGAUGAACUCGCGCAACCCAUCAUCAACAUGCUCGGGUCCCUGACCCGAACCCAAUCCCGAACCAGGUCCUGAUCCCCCUGCUCCAUGACGUGUGACCACCAUUCUGAAAAAUAAUAAUGCAAUUUUCAGGAUCUUAUAUACCCCCGGAGGGUCUCACACACUCUCCAAGUUUCCAGGUCUCAUCCCAAUCCUCCUUGAAUCGAGUACGGAUCCUCUGCUUUCAGUAGUACGGGCCCAUACUACCUUCCACAUCUAUCUAUACUUUCCCCAAGGAUUGCCUCGACUUCACCAGGUCCCUUUCACUGAUGCUCUUUCCACUAAUCACAUCCUAGGCUUCCCUAGGGCACCCUCAUACUUACUCCCCGCCAUCAGCUGCAUUAAGAGUCCUUACCGCGUCCCCCUAACUAGCUUGUGGAUACCGUUACAUAUCCGUUCACCAGUUAGUCGAAGUUGGCCAGAACCCCUAUAGCCCAAAGCAAGCAACAUUCGUGCGUUGAGUAACCAAACCAGGCAUAACCCACACAGGACAUCCUAAUGAUUAAACAGUCCUAGCAUACAGCUCAUACAACAGGCAUGUGAGGCAUCCUUCCUAGAUCCUUAGCCCUAGCUAGCAUGCAAUUCUCAGAAUCAUACAUCAGGCACACAAGGCAUCCUCCUAGAUCCUUAGUCUUAUUCUAGCAUGCAAUUUUCCGAAUCAAAACCAUACAACAUAACAUAACAAGUAUGGGUAUCUUGGGGAAAACUUACUUGAGCCCGGCCGGUCGCACGCAUCACACACUUCAUCUUUCUUAAAGCUUCCCAUUUUAGAUUUUAGAAAACCAUUUUCCUUCAAAAAUCUUUUAGUCCCUCAGUUUGAGUCCAGACACCCCCGAGGGUGUGUCCGAAUCCCUCAAACCAGGGCUCUGAUACCAACUUGUAACAUCCCAAAUUUUGAGGCCAAAAAUUUCAUUUUUAGAAUUUAGCAUGUAAUAAGGUGUGUUACUAAAGCAUUGUCAAAUUUACAUUAAUUAUAAAACAUAAGGUCAUGUCUCAAAACAAUAUCAUCGGAACAAGAAAAUCAGAGUACGAUCCCAGUAAAAUCCAGUGCGGAAAUCAUGUGUGUGAUAAGCCGCUACACCGCCGGCUCUUUCCCCUUUGACGAAGAGGUACUUGAAACCACAAUUAAAACUGUAAGCACGAAGCUUAGUGUGUUCCCCCAUCGUACCACAUACCAUUUAAUGCCAUCGGUAUCUUUCAACCGGUAAUCAACUUCGGUAUCUUUCAACCGGUAAUCAUCAUCGGUAUCUUACAACCGAUAAUCAUCAUCGGUAUCUUUCAACCGGUAACUGGGGUCUAUUCCACCCCCUACUACUAAUGACAUACAACAACAAGGUAUAAGCAUACAAUCAGGAAUAUCCGAUUACUAACGUACUCUUCGGUCCUAAAAGACCAUUGUCAGGGAAAAACUAUCCCUAUCAUACACAUAACAUAUCAUACAGAAAUAUCUCAUAACCAAACACGUAUCCAUACCGAGAUAAUUAUCACGAAGACAAUCAUCUUCUAAAAUACUCCUACCUGGUGGGCCGGCAUUGUGGCCUUAGACCCACCCUUAUUGGAAGGUAACUCACCUCAAAAGGCUGACUGCUGAAAAAUUGAUAUGCAAAUGUCUGACAGCUGCUCCGGUGAUCCCCCGGCUAUAUUCCCAUAAAACACUUAAUCAGACAUUGAUACUAAUCCCAUGGUAAAAUGACUAUUUUACCCUUGACCGAUUCCAAACCAAAGUCAAGUCAAAGUCAACUUCCAGUUGACCCGACUCGCCGAGUUGGCUUGCCAACUCGUCGAGUUCAUAUCCAGCCUAUUGACCUUACUCCCGUCUCUACUCGUCGAGUUAGGCAUUGACUCGACGAGUUCUCUUCCUAACUGAAUACACAAUGGUCCUUCAUCCAACUCGCCGAGUUGUAUGAACAACUCAUCGAGUUAAUCUUCAUCCGAUGAACACGUUCUUUCCUCGACUCGCCGAGUUGAUGAACAACUCACCAAGUUUUAUGAAGAUUGCCUUGGACCCGCUGAGUCAGAGCAUUGACUCGCCGAGUCCCUCCAUUGAUGAGUCUGGCUUCCGACUCACUGAGUCCACCUAUGGCUCACUGCUCUACUCACCUACUCGAAAAGGGGAAAAAUCGGGGACUCGCUACUCGACUCGCCGAGUUCGAAGAACAACUCGCCGAGUCGCAUCCAUGCAAUCUCUCUAUACUCGAUUCUGCUUGAAUCCAGUGCAUUCCAUUCAUAGAUCUGGGUUCCUAGGACUCGGUUAACACGUAAAGUUUCCAACUUUACGUGUAUAUAAUCAUCCAUGGGGAUUCUAAGGCUCAAAACACACAAAAAGGGGUAGAUCUAGGACUUUCAUGCAAUAUGGCCCCAUAAAGGUAUUAGACCUAGGCUUCUGGAACUCGAACAUAGCCAGAUCUAGCAGCUAUUCAGCCCAUUAUGAUCCUUAUACCACUGACCAGCUUGGAAAUGGGUCAAAGAUAGCUUAAUGGUGUUCUAAUGGGGAUUUGAGCAUAGAAACAAAAUAGAUCCGAAUUGUACCUCAAUGAACUCUGGAGUAAGUCCUAGAUUCUUGCUCUUCACCUUCUCUUUUGGUCUUUCCUUCCUUCUCUUCUUCAAACUCCAAGGAACAAGCACAAGAUUACUUCAAAUCACAAGGAGAGGGUUAGGGUUCGGUAUAUGAUGCUCUGAGGGUGAUGGAGUCUAACUUGGGGCGCAUAAAGGGGGUUUAAAUAGGGUGCAAACCCCUGAAAUUAGGGUUUCUUCCAGACUGAUGGACUCGCCGAGUCUCCAAAUUAAACGUGCUCAAAAUCCCUUCCCUACUCGGCGAGUCUAGCCUACGACUCGCCGAGUCUAAGGCUAAAAAAGGUAAAAUACUCAAAUAAAUCAUACAUACGAGGAACCAGGUACUACAAGUACACUGAUAAAUUUGGAUGAACCUAACAACUACAAGCAAACCAUGGCGGGCCCGGAGUCUGCAAAAUGGAAAGAGGCAAUAGACAACGAGAUUUAGUCCAUAUAUGACAAUCAAGUUUGCAACUUGGUUGGCAAUGUGACAGGUCGUAGGACAGUCGGCUACAAGUGGAUCUUCAAGAAGAAGAUCGACAUGGAUGGGAAAGUGCAUACAUUCAAGGCACGAUUGGUUACGAAGGGCUUUACUCAAACCACAGGGGUUGACUAUGAUGAGACCUUCUCACCAGUGCCCAAGAUUAAUUCUAAUAGGGUUAUGUUUUCCAUCGCUGCAUUUCAUGGUUAUGAAAUUUCACAGAUGGAUGUCAAAACUGUUUUCCUUAACGGGAAGUUGGCUAAAGAUGUUUACAUGUGUCAGCCAGAAGGUUUUAUGGAUGCCAAAUACCCCAAUAGAGUGUGCAAGAUUGAGAAAUCCAUUUAUGGAUUGAAACAAGCAUAUCGCAGAUGGAAUCUUAGUUUCGAUGAGAAAAUCAAAGAGUUUGGAUUUUUGAGAAGAAAAUAUAAGUCAUGUGUGUAUGUCAAUACUAGUGGGAGUAUAAUUAGCUUUCUAGUUUUGUAUGUUGAUGGCAUACUACUCAUAGGAAACGACAUCCCGACCUUGCAGGAGAUUAAGUCCUAGCUUGGGAAGUGUUUUGCUAUAAAAUAUCUAGGAGAAUAUGCUUAUUUGACAAGGUGUUGAAAUGUUUUAGCAUGGAGAAUUCCAAGAAAGGGGCACUGCCAAUCCAAACCAUUACCAAGCUGAGUAAGACUCAGAGUCCGAGUAUUGAUGCCAAGAUAGCGGAAAUGAGUUGAGUGCCAUAUGCUUCCGCCAUUGGCUUGAUCAUGCACGCUAUGAUGUACUCGCGCUGAUGUAGCUUUUGCAUUAAGCAUGGUUAGCCGAUAUCAAGGGAACCCGGGUAGAGCUCAUUGGACUGCAGUUAAGAACAUUCUUAAGUACCUGCGAAGGACUAAGAAUUGGGUCCUUACAAGUGGUGGGAGUGAUGACUUAAGAGUGACAGGGUACAAUGACUCCAGCUUUUAGACCGACAGAGAUAACUUCCGCUCUCAGUUGAGUACAAAAUGUGUUUGUGUAACUUGUCCUCAAGUUACAUNNNNNNNNNNNNNNNNNNNNNNNNNNNNNNNNNNNNNNNNNNNNNNNNNNNNNNNNNNNNNNNNNNNNNNNNNNNNNNNNNNNNNNNNNNNNNNNNNNNNGGUUGGAAGAAAUCUAUGGGAAGCCCAUAGAGAAUUCAUCCAAGGACUAUUCUAGAAGGUGUCCAUGGGCUGCUUAAGGCUUAAGCAGUUAAAUUAGGGUUUCACCUAAAACCCUACCAACCAUAAGUAUAAAUAGACCCCAUGGAUUAUAGAAUUCGGGCCCUAUGCUUUCUAAGAGAACCCUAGCCAAUUUCAAUAAGCCUCCAUCCUCUGUCUCUCUUGUUCAUCUAUUGCUUGUGGUGUUUGUGACUCCAUUAGAGGUGCAACAAUUGAGACACUAAGCUCUUGAAGGUCAAGAUCAACCAAUCAACAAGGAAAAGGUAUUCUUCUAACUUUGGUUUAGUUAUUGAUUUCGAAAAUAUGUAUGCUAGAUUAGGGUUUUUCUUUGGAAAAUUAUUAUUAUGCAUGUAUAACUUGAGAAAAAACUAGAUCUAAAGCAAUUAGGGUUUCAUGUGCACUGUAGGAAUGUUGUAAUGCUCAAAACCCAUCAGCAUAUACUAAGCAACUACAGUAAUGAUGUCAACUUCAUAUAAGGAAAACCCUAGGCUAUCAGGCAUCAUAUAGUCAGGCAAUUCUAUCAUGCAAUUUCUGAAGAUCCCUAGCUUAUCACUAACAUGAUGUUCUAACAUAUCAUAAUAUUAAAUAUCUGUAUGGUAUUUUGGGGUCUACUUGCUGGCUCUGAUUGAUCAUACACUUUGCAUCCUCUUUUAGUAUUUUGAAAACCAUUUUGAAAGUAUUUUACUUAGUUUGAGACUGGAUUUACACGAGUGCUCCUCCAAUUCACUCAAACCAAGGAUUUGAUACCAACUUGUAGCAUCCAUAAAAUUAAUGAAAAUUUAAAACUUUUUCAAGCAUCCAAAAACCAUUAUUUAUUACAAAAUGUUUUCAAAAGAGUUUCAUCUAAGAGUAUCUCAGAAAUCAAAAUCAUAAAAUGUGAGGAGGUGCACGAUCAAGCCUUCGCCUUCCCACGGUCAUCCGAAGUACUUGAAACAAAAUCCAAAAUCGUAAGCCCAAAGCUUAGUGAGUUCCCCCAAAAUACCAACGUCAUACAAACCAGAACAAUAUCAUAACAAACAACAUGCAUAUAGAGUCUAUAGUAUGACUGGACCGCCCUCGCCGGGCCUUCAGUCUGUCAGGCUCACUCUCAGAACCUUCAGCAUGUCUGGUUCGCGUUACCAGACCUUCAGCAUGUCUGGACUGUUCUUCGGGCCUUCAGCCUAACUGGUACGCCCCAUUGGGCCUUCAGUCUAUUCGGGUCGCCUUGGGUAUGUUAGCCUAGAGCACAAAGCAGGACCGCCUCAACCCACCCCCAAACACACAAUCAACACAUAGAUAUCAAAUGAUAGCUAGCAUGUAUAAACAGUCAAAUAGAUCUAACAUAUCACUAAUCAUAGCAUCAUCCUAUGUACCAGGAUAUCGACCUAACAGGUCACUAAACAUAGCAUCAUCCUAUAUACCAGGAUAUAGAUCUAGCAGAUCAUUAAGCAUAUCAUCAUGCGAUAACCAGGAUAACAAUCCAAAAGGCCAACAUUGGUGUCUUUGACGCUAUUAGUAUAGUGAGGAAAACUUACCUCACAAGUAGUGUUGAACCGAUAAAUUGAAUCCCAACUCACGGCUCCGAAAUCAACUACCUUUAAUCACCAUAUAACUGAUUCCAUUUGAAUCCCAAAUUACAAAAUAUCCUCAGAAGUCAAACUCGAUCUACCAUGGUCAAAGUCAGAGUCAACAGUCAAGGUCAACAAUCUAUGUUGACCCAACUUUUCGAGUUCAUCUACUGACUCGUCGAGUUCUUUCAGAACUCAGAAACCAUAAAAACUCGAGUCAACUCGCCGAGUUGCCAAACAACUCGUCGAGUCCAUGUAGUGUCCAGAAGAUUGGGAGAACCUUAACCAAGUCGUCGAGUUUUCUCACCAACUCACCGAGUUCACUCAGAAUCCUGAAAGCGGGAAAACCCUUAUCCAACUCGUAGUUGGCUAAGCAACUCGUCGAGUUCCUUUAUCCCUUUUCUCAUUUAGACGCUCUUAAGCGAAACCAGGGCUCCAGACUGUAGAUCUAUCCCCCUAAGGUGUAAUUACCACAUAAAGUUGCCAACUUUACAUGUAUGCAAGGCCUCAAGAGGCUAAAACACCCAAAACUAAGCUUUGGAAGAGGUUUAGGGCAUGGAGAAGAGCCAAGACUAGAUAAAGUCGACAACUUUAUGUCCAUGGGGCCUAGAGGAGUCAAGAUCUGAGACCAUGUCCUCAUGACAAGCUCAAGCCCGAGAGUGACUCCAUUUUGCACUAGAAAGGACCAUAUUCUUGCAUAAGGAAAGAUCUAAGAAAUGGAAAGCCAAGGUAAGGACUUUUUACCUCCAAAUGGUUGCUAACAUAGAGUAGAUGUCGGAUCUACUGCUUCUCCCUUUGCUCCAACCUCUUCAAGCUUCAAAACCCUUCCAAAAGAGCAUAAAAAUGAUUUUCUAAGCUCACACACACAAGGAAGUAGUAAAGCAUGGCUAGGGUUUCCUUCUCUGGGCAAUGAGGUGAUAAGGGAGGCCAAAGAAUGUGGGCUAAAUCCUUUAAAUAAGGUGCAAACCCUAAAAAUUAGGGUUUUUCCAUUCCUAAAAAUUAGGGUCCUCCAACUCGUCGUGUAGGUUCCAUAAACCACGCGACCUGAUUAGUUUCUACACAAUGAGUUGGGGCAUCCAACUCGUCAAGUAGGUCCUGAAUGAUGUAUAAAAAUUCUUGAAACUCAUAUCUGCAAGUCGGGAUGUUACACUAUUAGUCUUAAGUCGGUAGCUCAACGACACAAAUAUGGUCAUAAUGACCGAAAAUUAAAUGACAGGGUUUUCCCCAAAAUAAAAAUAUUGAAUUAUAAUGAAAUGAUAUUAUUGAAAGAAGAAAAAUAGCAUAUUAAAGAAAAUUUAAAAUGUGGCAGAGACCAAACUAAGCAAAAAGCCCAACAUACAGAUCGGAUUAGGCGAGAUUAUCAAACAUAGUGACAAUUAUGAUUCUUUGUCUUCAUCCUCCGACUUUAAGUUUGUGGCUAAAAAAUGAAACGAAGACAUGUAUAUUCAUGUCAGAGGCACCAAUUAUCCAUUUGAAAACGAAUUAUUAUUAUUUGGCUGCUAAACUAACCAAAUGAGUGACUACUAAGACGCCAAAUGGCGCAUGUUUCAAUGGAUGAGACCUUGUCUAUUUAGUGCGUUAAUUAUUUGUGAUAUCACAACUUUGGAUUAGAAAAUAGACACAAUCAAUUGGAAAAUAACCAACCAAAUGAUGUUAGGCAAAUUAUCAUUAAAUACAAAUAACACUACAACAAAUAUAAAAAGUAUGAGCGACACUAUAAUGGCAAACUAGAAAAGAACCCCAGCUCCGUCCCGGGUUAGAAAUUUUUAUUUUUUACUCUUUAUUUUUUGCAGGAUUGUAGUUUUACUUUUAUUUAUUUAUUAUUUUUUUUACAACUAAGAAAGAGAGAAUUAAAAAUGAAAGAUUGGUCGCUCACCUACAAAUUUCAAUUGCUAUUUCUGACCGGACUUCCCAACUUGGAAUACAAUAGGAUUAGAACCUUUCAACAUUAUUGUCAUUCAAAUAAUGAAGUAAUAAAAUUCAACACAAAUACCAAGUACGGGCAAAAAAAAUGGGGAAAAUGGUUUUUAAAAUGGUCUAGAAGAAUAUAAUGGUUUAAUCAAGUAGAAAGUAGUUAAUUCGCUAAAUCAAUUAAAUAGUGAAUGUAUAAAUACUUUUUUGUAUUUUUCCUUUUAGAAUUAGAAAAAUAUUAAAAAAGAAUUUUCACCUUGAAAGUAUAAAUAAACCAAGUUGUUGAAAGUUUGCGAAUUUUAUCAAUGCAUAUCAUAUUAGUGAUCUGGGGAAAAUAUUAGAGAAACAACGAUAAAAAUUAAUCUCAUUCAACAAAUUUAAAUUUAUAAACAAAUGACAAUAUUCAUAAAAUUGUAGUUUAAAUAAUCAUGAAUUUUCUUUAUGAAGAUUUUGUAGUAUAUUCUAAGGGGAAAAGGAAGUGAUAAGAAAAAAAUGUAAUAGUAAAUAGAAUGGAUAUGUUAAAAGGGCAAAACCGUUUUUUUUAAUAAAUAUGAAAACUAUAGGAUGCAGCAUGUUAGGAGUGGGGUCCUUGCACCCCACUUGGAAGUGGGCCCCACCAUUAUAUUACUAAAAAUAGCCUUUAAAAUCGACAAAACUUCAAAAAUGGUCUUUGUGGUUUUCGAAAAUAUCAAGUUUAAUCUCUAAGUUCAAAAAACCUCACAGAUGGUCCAUGUGGUUUCAAAACUUUUAACAUUUGGUCCUUCCGGCUAACUCCAUUACCACUUAGCCGUUAAGUAAAGGGUGUUUUUGUCAUUUCACUACCCAGGGACCAUUUAUGAGGUUUUGUAUUACUUUUUUUUUUAAUAAAUAAAUAAAUAAAAUUUAAUAUGUAAGGGUCCCACCUCUCUCUCUCUCUCUCUCUCUCUCUCUCUCUCUCUCUCUCUCUCUCUCUCUCCUGUAAGUUGUAUAAAAUUCUUUCUCGUCGCUGGCUCCCCUGUAAGUUGUAUAGAUUCCAUGUCUCAUUCAUCAUUUGAUUCCAUAUUUUCAUGAAUCAGAUUGAAUCUGAAUUUGUUUUGAAUCCGCUUUGUAUACCUUCGACUCCGCAGGGCGUGGGUAAAACCACUCUGAUCGCUAGGGUUUUGGAGAAUCUCAGAACUUCCUACCUCAAUUUGAAAAUACAAGGGUUUUUCACUCGUAAUGCCCUAUCAUUCCAUACUCUUCCAUCGCUCAAAUAUGUUUUGAUUUUCGCCUUCGUUUACUCAUGAAAUUUGGGAUACAAAACAGGUGAGAUCAGACAAGAAGGCGAGAGGGUAGGGUUUGAGGUGGUUACGUUAGAUGGUCGCACUGCUCCAUUUGCUUCUAUUAACAAUUCCUGGUAACCAUUUCUUUAUAUUUUUUCAUCAUUCAACGUCGAAUUAGGUUUUAAUUAAGUUUUCCAUGGCAUUGUAGAUUCCAUUAGAUGGCCUAUUGUGGGAAGAUACAGAGUCGAUGUAGCAUCAUUCGAAUCAUUAGCUUUGCCUGAGUUAUAGGUUCGUUUAGCUUCAUCUCUAAUUUCUCAGUAAGAAGUUGAUUUUCGAUUUCAUUUUCAGGACAAAGAAGAUACAAAUCUGUUUGUGAUUGAUGAAGUUGGAAAGAUGGAGCUCUUUAGUUCGUUGUUCUUCCCUGCAAUGUUACGUGUUCUUGAGUCAAGGAAGAUAAAUCUUCGGUGGUUGUUUCUUCCACCGGUGAAUCGGAGAGAGAGAUAGAGAGGGGUGGGACCAUUGCAUAUUAAUUUUUAUUUAUUUAUUUAUUUAUUUUAAAAAAAGUAAUACAAAACCUCAUAAAUGGUCCCUGGGUAGUGAAAUGACAAAAAUACCCUUACUUAAUGGCUAAAUAGUAACGAAGUUAGCUGGAAGGACCAAAUGUUAAAAGUUUUGAAACCACAGGGACCAUCUGUGAGGUUUUUUGAACUUAAAGAUUAAACUUGAUAUUUUCGAAAACCAUAGGGACCAUUUUUGAAGUUUCGUCUUAAAAAUCUUACUUUUGCUAAAACCCUCCUUUGCGACACCCAUUCUUGUAGAAAAAGCCCCAUCUUAACAUAUUUUUACUACAGAAACUUACAAAUUCAAAAAAAAAAUUAGAGGUUUAUUCCUAUAUAAGUUUUUUUAUGUAUAACGGACCCGCUUUACUUCAAGCAUGAAUCCGCCACUAAAUACGACAAAUGACAACAACACCAUUCUUGAGAAAAAGCACCUUCUUCUUCACUAGUUUCCUGGUUUUAGGAUCAACUUGAUGCAUCAACUCAAUAAUCUCACAUUCCUCAAAAACAUAGUGAAUAUGCAAUAUAGCUUUGUAUCUAGCAGUGAAAAUAGCCUAAAAAAAAUAAAAAUAAAAAUUCAUAAAAAAAUAAGUGAGGAAGAAUAAUAAUAAAUCCAAGGUGAAAGAUUUAUGUAAGUUAAUACAUUUCCAACAAUUCAAGAAUUUGCAACUGAGCGAUAAACUCGUGAACUACUGGUAUUGGUUUUGCUACAAAAGAAAAAAGAAAAAGGAAAACAUCAAACUCUAGAAAGAUAUCCAAUAUUGAAAACAUUAUUACAUUUCUUUAUUUUAUAAAUAUAUGUACAUAUUAAAGAUAAACUUAAUUAAAAGAAAACAUAGUACCAAUACUGGAAAGAACAAAGUCGGAUAGUAUGUCUUGUUCUUCAAUCCUAGAUACUCUGACACGUAUAUUCUCACCGGGCCUGCAUUUUGAAACCAAUUUAUGACAACAAUUAUAAAGACAUGUCAAAGCACAAUGAUAAUACUACAGAGAUGGUAGAAAUAAACAAUCAUAUUAGUUAAAACCCUCACAAUGUAAUUAAUUACUGAAAAACAAAUGACUAUGUAAGGGUAUACUUGGAAUUACUACGCAUUGGGUUUGAACUUCACAUGAACAUUGUUUUUCAGAUGUGGUAAACCGAUGUGGUAUAUACCCUCCAGAUGUAAGAAAUGCAACCCGUUGAUGGUAGAUUUAAACAUAUUAUUUUAUCAUCACAUGCUACAUCUGAUCAUGCCAUCAUCUAGAUUCUAAGAGAAGUAGAGAAGGACGUGCAAGUAAGUGCAAAAGACCAAAUUACCCUCAUGUUAUUAUCAUUACUGUUUUAAGUUAGAGGGCUAUUUAUGUCAUUUGACAUGUAAAUAAAAUAUUGUAUUCUUUUUGAAAAAAAAAACAUGUUGUAUUAAAAAAUGCAGUUAAUGAGGGAAAAGAAAAAUAGAUCAGAAAGGAUUCACAUACGUUGGUUUCAAAUCUUGGUUUGAAUUUUAGGUUUCUUAAGGUUUUAAAUAUGAGGUUUGAUUUCAGAUAUGUUUUUGAUGUUUGAUUUCAUAUGUGAUUUUAAUUUCAGCUUUGAGGUUUGAUUUCAUAUUUUUCAUAUAUUCAUUUUGGUUUUGGGUUUAAUGUUUAAUAUCAACUUUGAAUAUGACUUGGAGGCGAUGAGUGCUGGUGGUUGACGAUGGUGUCAAAUGAGAGUGAUGAUUUUAAUGUCGUGGCUGGAUCUGUCAACAUGAAACAUGUAUAUAGGAUUUGGGUUGAUCAAUUAUGGCACAUCAUUUUUUUUAAUUUAAAAAUAACAAAUAGUUAAUAGAANNNNNNNNNNAAAGGCAAAAUAGUCUUUUUAUAUCGUAUAGGAACAAAGACCCAACAAAACAAGGUUUGAGGACCUUCAGAAUUAGAAAAGCUCAAACCAAAGGAAACAUUAAUCAUGUAGUUUAUUCUAAAAAAAAAUUGUUCAAUUUCAAUGCAAUAUAGUAGAGAAAAUGGUUGAUGAUAUACCUUCCAAAGAAAAAUAUAAAGACUCUGCUGUUUUCCACCUAUUGUUCAGAACUAUGUGUACCUGACAAAUUCCACCUCAGCAUAUAUAAUUUCCAAAUCUCUCGUAUUUGGCGAAAUUUUUGUUAUAAAUAGGGUAGCCAGUAUCUACCUGCAAAUCACGUUCACCAUAAACAUCUUUUGAGUUUUGACUACCUUUCACAUGAUGGCUUCUCCGACAGUCUCAGACCUUGAAAACCCAAUCACCACCUCCGCCCUUCCCUACUCCUACGCCCCAUUGCCUGACGGCGAGCAACCCACCGGAAAUGAUCGCACCAUCCGCCCAUCCAGAAAGACAGCCCUCUUUCUUGUGUCUCUGUUCUUGGCCGUCGCUUUUCUAGUCGCAUUGUUCGCCGGAAACAGCCCAAUGCUUCCCAAAAACUUGAACACCAGUCCGGUGCCAUCCACGGCGGCGACUCCGGAAAAGGUAACACCUUUAUCUCGUGGGGUGGAGAAAGGUGUGUCGGAGAAAUCUUUUCAUCCAUUGUUGGGUGCAGAUAAUUCGUAUCCAUGGAGCAACAACAUGUUGGAUUGGCAAAGAACUGCCUUUCACUUCCAACCUAAGAAAAACUGGAUGAACGGUAAAUUAAUUCUUUCUUACAUUUACAUACACACACAAAAUUUGAGUUAAAUUUCACAUUAUGAAUGUGAUUAGAAACAUCAUUACUUAUAUUUUUCUUCUUUUGCUUCUUUUUUUUGGCAUCGCUGUGGUGAUCGCGAUUCUCUCUUCAGAUCCUAACGGUUAGUUCAAAACUCAUUCGGUUAAUAUAUUUUUAUAUUAUAACUUCGAAAUAAAUAAUAUAUAAUUAUGAGUUAAAGUGUUUAAUAAAACAGUGGUUUUAUCCUAAGGAUGGCCCACUCUCGUUUUCGUGAUUCAGUCAUACAAGAAAACAAAGUAUAAUUAAUAGUAUUCUUUAUUUAUCGAAUUAUUCUUAAAAAGCAUAUCCAUACUUUCAAACUUCAGAGUUACAACUGAAAAGGAAGAAACAGAACAUCCUUUUUAAGCACUUUUUUUAACAUUUUUUUAAAUAAAAAUAUACUUUAUAUAAAUAUUUUUUGAGUUCUACUCUUCUUUACAUGCACUUUUUUGACAUUUUUAUAUAAAUUAAAAUAUGUUUCAGGUCCAGUUUUUUACAAUGGAUGGUACCACCUGUUCUAUCAAUAUCAUCCCGAUGCUCCGGUGUGGGGCAAAAUCGUUUGGGGCCACGCUGUCUCCAAAGACUUAAUUAACUGGCGCCACCUCCCCAUCGCCAUGGAAACCGACCAGUGGUAUGACGAACAGGGUGUCUGGACUGGUUCCGCCACCAUCCUUUCCGAUGGUCAACUCGUCGUUCUCUACACCGGAUCCACCAACGAAUCCGUCCAGGUCCAAAACUUAGCUUAUCCAGCCGACCCAUCUGACCCCCUCCUCAUCAACUGGGUCAAAUACCCCGGAAACCCGGUUCUCGUCCCACCACCUGGUAUCGAUAAUAAAGAUUUCCGUGAUCCAACAACCGCAUGGAAGACCCCCGAGGGAAAGUGGCGAAUCACCAUCGGUUCUAAGAUCAACAAAACCGGUAUUUCGUUGGUUUACGACACAGAAGACUUCAGAACCUUUGAGCUUUUAGACGGGUUGCUCCAUGCUGUUCCGGGUACGGGUAUGUGGGAAUGUGUGGAUUUUUACCCGAUAUCAAAACAAGGCGAGAAUGGGCUUGACACAUCAGUAGAUGGGCCUGGGGUCAAACACAUAGUCAAAGCUAGCAUGGAUGAUGACCGAAAUGACUAUUAUGCCAUCGGUACUUAUGAUGCUUACAAGGGGAAAUGGACCCCAGAUAAUCCUACAUUAGAUGUGGGAAUCGGGUUGAGAUACGAUUACGGAAUCUAUUACGCCUCAAAAACAUUUUUCGACCAAAACAAGCAAAGAAGAGUUUUGUGGAGUUGGAUCAAAGAGACAGACACCGAAGCCUCCGACAUUAAGAAGGGUUGGGCUUCUGUCAUGAUAUAUCUCUAUCUUAAAAUGUUUCAAAUCCGACAAUUUUCACUAUAUAUUUAUUAUACUUGUACAUUUUUCACAGGGAGUUCCUAGAACAGUUGUGUUGGAUAAAAAAACUCAAAGCAAUAUAAUUCAGUGGCCCAUUGAAGAAAUUAACCGAUUGCGGAAAAACCUUACCGUUUUCAAGGAUGUCGUUUUAGAAGUCGGCUCGCUCGUGCCACUCAACCUGUCUUCUGCAUCUCAGGUACUUGAUAUAUUUUCCUUUUUGUGAUGUUAGUAGUAGAAUUUAUCUCCAAAAGAGUCAUAAAAAGAAAUGAAAUGAUAGACUACAACAUAUAUAAAAGUAAAAGCAAAUGAGACUAUUAUAAUUGUCAUUGUCAUUAAAAGUACUUUGUAUAUGAUUGGUUAUAAGAUUUGGAAUUAUUAUAAUUUACAGCUAGAUAUUGUUGCUGAGUUUGAAGUGGAUAAGAAGACAGUGGAGCGAUUAAACGGAGCCGAUGUUGCAUAUGAUUGCGCCAAAAAUGGUGGAGCAGCACAACGAGGUGCAUUGGGACCAUUCGGUUUUUCGGUCCUUGCACACGAAGGCCUGGCUGAACACACUCCUGUGUAUUUCUAUGUUGCCAAAGGAGUUGAUGGGAACCUUAAAACAUUCUUUUGUGCUGAUCAAUCGAGGUCAUCUAAUGCUAAUGAUGUCGAUAAGUCAAUUUAUGGGAGCAUUGUCCCAGUUCUCAAAGGUGAAAAGUUGUCUAUGAGAAUCUUGGUGGAUCAUUCGAUAGUUGAAAGUUU